AAAAAAAAUGUAUAAUAUAUCAAAAUGUUCAGCAUGAGAAUUCGCAUCCGAUUUUGACCGCCUAUGGCCUGUUUGUAAAUUUUGAGCUCAAAUUCUAAAAGGAAAAAAAGUUAUGCUCAAAUUUUAGUUUUUUUUGAAUUUUUGUUAAAUCUGGUCAAACUAUGGUCAAACCACUUAUUCAAUAAGUAUUAGUGUUACUAAAUAAUUAUUCAAGAAUAUUAGUGUUACUAAAUAAUUAUUUCAGUUUUUUGAAUUUGGGUCAAAUCUGGUCAAACUGUGGUAUAACUACUUAUUCAAGAAAUAUUAGUGUUACUAAAUAGUUAUUUCAGUUUUUUGAAUUUUGGUCAAAUCUGGUCAAACUGUGGUCAAACUACUUAUUCAAGAAAUAUUAGUGUUACUAAAUAAUUAUUGUUUUCAGAACAAUAGUUUCAAACUCAAAAGUGAAAUGUGUGACUUCAUACUCAAGCUAAAUUCCUGAGGGUUAAUAGGAUUGACAUCUUACUAUUGUUAGGAAAACAACAAGUGCAGAAUUGGAAACGAGGGAGAAUAGAACCCGGAAGUUAAGCGUGCUCAGGCUGGAAUAGUGAGAGGAUGGAUGACCGUCUGGAAAGUUAGAUGAUUUGAAAUGAUGAGGGGUGAUUAGAGAUUAGAGGUUAAAUUGAGCAGUGAUGAGGGGUGAUUAGAGAUUAGAGGUUAAAAUAAUUCAUAAUUUGAAAAUAAAAAAAAUCAUAAAAUUUCCUUUAGUACCGGUUGGUGUUACCAACCGGACUAAAGGUGGACCUCCAGGCAGCGGCCACGUGGAGGGCCUUUAGUCCUGGUUCGUAUAAGAACCGGGACUAAAGGGGGAGACCUUUAGUAACGACCUUCUAGUCCCGGUUCCAGAACCGGAACUAAAGGCCCUCACCAAUCGGGACAAUAGGCCCUUUUUCUACUAGUAUCUCUACAUUCUUCGACAAUUCCAUGUAGAUCGUAAGAUAGGUUGCACAUUGAUCAACUACAACUAUUGCUCGGUCUUAGGAUUUUCCACACUGUUGGUGAUUCUUUGGGACAAUCGGGUUGCUAUGGUUUCUCAAAAAUGAUUGUGUGAUUUCUAUCUACACAACAUACGUGGUAAUCAAAAGUUUCCAAUGAGUCCUAUUUAUAGCUAUGUGAAACUUUGAAAGUACUUUACACUCAUCUUUUCCUAAGUUUAAACUUGUCACUUGAAGUUGCCCACUAAUAGCUAAUAAUUUUAAAAAUGUAUAAAUUUGCUUAUGUCUGAAAGUUGUUGCAAAUAUGAACAUAAAAUGGCAAAUAAAGGUGAUAACCCACAAGUGUAGGGAUCGCAGCAGUCUUCUUUGGGAAGUAUUACAACUCUAAUUCAUAUUUGACUUUAUGGGACCGAGAAAAAACUUAUUGUCUUUGGCAGUUGCGUUGUCAAUUCAACCACGCGUGAAACGCCGUGGGAUUUUUUCUUCCUAAUUGUUUGGAGUUUCAUGUAACUAAAUAACAACAAAUAAGUCUAGGCAAGAACAAAGAGUGUACCUUUUUGGCCACAUUUUUUCUAUUCACUCAUAACAUCAAUUGGUCUUGCUGGUAAAGUCUAGACUUGGCAUUCUUGUCUCGUGCAAUGACAAUAUUUACAUACUUACAUCUUCUCUUCAACUUCCAUCAUCUCAUGGCUUUUGCCCACAUAUUACCAUGUGUUGGGCCGUACCCGAGAAAAUGGAGGCCCGAUGUCAAAAAGUUGGCUCUCAACAUAACAAAUGUCAAUCAAGAAAAAUAAAGCUUUGUUAUAAAUAUCAUUCCAUUGUUGCCAUGAACCUCAUCAGCACUUGUAUAUGCACUCCGAUUUUAAUGUGGCCGAAAAGGCUACACUCUUUGUUCUUGCCUCCUUUCUCGUAUUGGUGAAUCAGCGACCUCGAAUUUGUGGCAUGCCUCCAACUCCUAUCAAUGCACCCAUGUCGUAGGAUAGCGGCAAGCAACAAUGGGACUGACAGAAGCAUAGGAGAUAUGUGAGAAACUAGGAAAAAAGAGACUAAAUAAAUAGAUGGAAGGAGAGUAGAAUAGUACCAAUUCAUUUAAUUAGGGGAUUUGUUUUGGGGAAAAUAUGAACGAAUUAAUCAACUGGGAUAGAAUCAAGCUCGAGAUUGGAUUGUAGGGAGAGAAAGGGAUCUGCUCCAGAAGAGAAAGAGGGUGGAGAGAAAAGAGGAGGAGUAGCGUGAGAUGGGGCAUUGGAGUUCUUUUGUUCCAGGUUCCAACAUAGUAUUUGAUCGAUGCAUUGAUUACCCCCAUAUAAUCUAGUCAUUCAUGCUAUAUUACAUAGAAGAUUUGGUGCCCUAUUAAUUUGGGGGCCCUGCGCAGUCGAACACUCUGCGUGCCCCGUACGGGCCUGACCAUGUGCAUGUGCGAGUACCUAUUAGCUAGAUAGCACAAUGGGUCUAGUUAGGUGACCUUUCUUGUGUCAUGUGAUGUGUUAAUGAGGGAUACUAGAGAUGGUUGAUAUUUGAUGAUAGGGAAGGGAUGUUGAAAAUAGCCAUGUAUUGUUAGAUAUAUGACAUGUAAGUUACUUCUUAUAUUCAAGACCCUCAGAACAAUCCUUGGUCUCAGGCAGUGAAACCAAUAAAAAUACACAUGCUAUAAGCAAUGGUAGGCACAAAUCCAAACACGAGCUCAAAUAGUGGAUACCUUAAGGACAAUUAUCCCAUAGGGCAGCAAAUCAUAUAUCUACCUUACUAAGCAUUGUUGAUUAUGUUUUCUUUCUCUAGCACAAGACAUGAAAUUCGUCCAGUGCAACUGUGGAUCCUAAAUUCAUGUGUUUUAUUUUCCAUCUUGUAGCACAUGACAACACACAAUAGUGAAUCGUACCAUAUGAGCUAUUAUAAUAAACAUUACCAAUCCACUUAUAAUAAUGACAUAGAAACUAACAACAUAGUACCUUAUUAAUGUCUGUGAAAUUCCUAAAUUCUAAAGUACGACUUAGGUUUUAUAGCUGAUUUUAUAACCUGUAAUGUCUGAAAUAUUGAGAAAUUCACAUGAAAUGCAAGCAUGAGUGCCAAUUGCACAUACACUUCUAUGAUAACUCAUAUUUUUAUACUCGCUUGUUAUGUAACUAUAAAUAUGACAUGUUUUGUUAAUCUAGCUUAUUGGGCCAAUUCGGUCCAUAAGGGUUGCUAAAAUAUAUGAAUGGAAAAAGCACAUUCUUCUCAAAAAACAAAAAAUAAUGGGAAAACACAUGAUUAGAGCAUCACACCAUCUUGUAUAUAUCAAUGACCUAAGAACUGAGUAACAUAUUGUAUCAUACUUAUGGACUGAUCUUGUCAAAAUUAACUAGAGCAUUUUCAGAGAUUCUUGGGCAAUUAAAGUUUAGGCUUGAUCAACACAUCCAUCAACAUAUAAUUUAUUUUAGGAAGAUACAUCAACCCUUUCAUAGAUACUAUUAGAGUUGCAGAUGAUCAAAACAAGUGUGAUCUCGUGGUAUGCAUGUUGUUUUGCUUAAUUUCCUUGAUCAAUGUAUUGUCUUGUUUGUAGACUUCUCAAGAGAUUGGUGGCUGAGCAUGGAAAGCGUAAUGGGCGGAGAUUUCAAAACACCUACCAGGACGGAUUGGGAAGCAAUGCCGUGAGCGAUGGACAAAUCCCCUGCACCCCGACCUCAAGGUCUGCUUAUUCUUUUCAUGCAUAGCGGCUUAUAAUCUUUAUUUUAAUUAGGGGAAACCUUGCAUAGAUCUAUACAUGAUUUGGAAAUCUAAAUUGUUUUAGUUAAGUUUUUAAUAUGUUCGAACUAAAAUAAUUUAGACUAAAGAUUAGAAAUUUUAGUGGCAUGUGCCAUCCGUACUCUCUUGUUUUUGUUAUAUUAUGAGCAUAAAUUAAAAUAAUUAAAACCUAAUUUAGGUCGCAAAUCUCCAGUCUCUACUCCUAUGUUUGGAGAAAAACUAAUAGAUGGUACGGAUUAUUAAUUUCUCUCAUCAUUUAUAGAUGUCAAUUACAACUUCCUUAUUUCGACCACACGAGUUUCUAGAGUCUUCCGCGGUGGCAGAGCUAGGGGUGGCCGGGUGGGCUAAAGGGAGCCAUGGCCCCCUCAUGGUUUGUCACUCUUACCACCGUCUGAGCCAUACCUUUUUCUUUUUCUCAAUGCUACAUGGCCUCCCAUUUUGGCUUUUUCCCAUAUUUUUUUGUUUAGGCAUGUUGUUGAAAUACUCACAUAUGGUGGUAUUUUUUCACGAUAUGUUUCUUACCCUUUCUUCAAUAAGACAUUUUAAAAAAAAUUCCCAAUAUAGCUUACCAGUUAUACCAUGUGAUUAUACCCUUCAGUUGUUAGGGCAUGGCCAAUGCAUAGCCUGAUGGUGAUGCCCCAUGUGCCAUGUAGGAUCUGAUGUCAGGGAAAAUAGGUUUGGAUAAAGAAGCAGGAUCCUCUGCAAGAGGCAGGUGCUUGAGGAGAAAAGGCGUGCUCCAAUGUAAAAAAGCUAAAAAAAAGUUGAAGUGAAGAGUAGAGAUGCAUAUGUAUUAAAGUUUCUAUUUUCUAUUUCUUGACGAGGCCCAUUAGUUGUAGCUUCUGUUGGGGAGAGAAAAUUAGUGUAGUUACCUCAAGCUACUUUUUUCAUGGGGCAUCUGUAUCUAUAUGUCACCAUUGUACAUAUGCCCUUAGUGGGAGCGGUUCAUGCACUGAGGGUUCUCCCGAACAUUGAUAUACACACGACGCCAUGUGCACGAUUUAUGGACGACACUAUUAAUCAAGUCGUUGGUGUUAGAAAGCAAACUUCAGUACAUCGGCAGAUUUUGCAUCAUCCCUGCCACGCAUCUGUCGUUUGUAAAGUACUCCUUCCGUUCCAAAAUAGAUGACUCAACUUUGUAUUGUAUAAGUUGAGUCAUCUAUUUUGGAACGGAGAGAGUAGUUUCGUAGUCAGUUUAGAUGCAACAAUUCACAGUCCCAGAAUAAUUAAAAUUAGUCAUAUUCCCCGCAGGUAACAUAACAAUACUACACACCAAAAAAUCAAGCACCAUACAAACCUGCAGUUUUGUUGGCCGAAAUUGUGUUGACCACAUAAAUAGCUCAUGUUCCUCGAUUAUAAAACAUAAAAACACCAUGAUCGCUUACUAUGAAAUUAAUAACAGUUUGCUGCUUCCUCUCUGUAAACAAAAAUUAGUUGCAAAAAUUAGUUCACUUAUUGCUAUCCAUCUCUUUGUUUCUCUCCUAUGGAUUUAGGCAUAAGAAAAUCAUACCCCUAUCUUACGUAUUGUCAUGUGUUAUGACCUCAUUCUCUACUUAAAACUGAAAGCUGAUGAAACUGAUUUUUUUUUACAUAUAUUUUUACUCCAUUUGUCUUAUGUGGACGCGACAAGAACUUUUAGCAGCCUUUUGUAUUUAUAUUAGAUUUUGAGUUUUCGAGAAAGCACAAGGCUAUAGAAUUUUAAGGUUAAGACUGAAUAUGAGCAAACAACCUUCGUAUGACCGUUAUGACAAGGAGAUGGAAUUCUUGUUGGGAAUUAAUUAGUACACGAAUGCACUUGUGGUUAACUGACAACUACAACAGAAACAAAGUAAUCUCAGCACCAUAUCAUGUACUAACUCAAGGAUUGUUGCUUACCACAGAAGAAAACAUAUGCAACAGCAUAUAUGGAGGCAAAAUAUGUUACCCAGCAGGCAAGACACUCCUCAGUCGAGUGUCUUGUGGUAGGAGUGACAUUUCUGGACAGCAACAAACAUCAACAAAGAGACACCAGAUUUUUACGUGGAAAAUCCCCCAACUUGGAGGGAAAAACCACGGACCGAAGCCACCCAAAUCCUCUUCCACUAUUAUCAAAUGUGGAAUACAACAAGUUUUUCUCUAGACGGCACUAGAGGAUCUCAUAAAUCAAGAUUUCUGAAUCUUGGAUGAACACAAUAAGAUUUGGGGCUCCAGAACUAGGGAUUGGAACAAUCUCACCAAAGAUGGUGGAACCGCAUCUUGAAGGAGACAUGGUAGUGGAUCUGGACCAUCACAACCUUGGGGAGGAGCUCCAUUUGCUUCUUCUUCAAUCUUCCUCUUCUUCCCUUGCUCGCUUGAUUUUCUCGCUUCUUCUUCCUUGCAAGAUGAACUGAUUUUCGUCGCUCUUGGUGGUGGCCACUGGAUGGAGGGUAAAGCUUCUUCAUCCUCUCAUGUGCAAAGUCCAAAAUGACCCUAGGUCAUAACCCUAAUGUGUAGUGGGCUUCUGCACCUCUUUGGGCUGCCUGAAAGGCCUCAAAUGGUCAUCUCCUUAUAGCCCAAAUGAGGACGAUAUCCCAACAAAUCUCCCCCACCGACUCAUGAGGGGGGCACCGCCAUGCCCGCUACCUUGCAACAUGCUUGUAGCUUGUCAUUUGGCCAUAUCUUGGUCAUCAUAUCCGAACCAUUGUCGUCAAUAUGGAUCUUCUCCAGUUUCAGCAACUUGGAACUCACAACAUCUCGAAUCCAAUGAUACCUCACAUCAAUGUGCUUGGUUCGAGAGUGAUAGCUUGAAUUCCUGGCAAGAUGAAUAGUUGUCACAAAAUAGAAAAUACUUCUCUUGCUUCAUGGCAAGCUCUUGCAAGAAGUUCUUCAUCCACAAAACUUCCUUGCCAGCAUCAACUGCUGCAAUGUACUCAGCUUCUGUAGUUGAUGUAGAAACACAUUUCUACAAUCUUGAUUGCCAUGACAAUGCUCCCCCUGCAUAAGUCAUCAAGUAUCCAGAUGUGGACUUUCUACGAUCCUUGUAACCUGCAUAAUCUGCAUCUGUAUAGCCCUGCAAUAUAGGAUCACGCUUCCAAAGCAUAAACAAGAUGUAGAAGUUCCCUUGAGAUACCUGAGAAUCCAGUUCACUGCUUCCUAGUGAGCUUUACCUGGAUUUGUCAUGAACUGGCUAACAACUCCAACUGCAUAGGCAAUGUCAGGCCUAGUGCAUACCAUGGCAUACAUCAAACUGCCCACAAUAGAUUGGUAAGGUACUUUCCUCAUUUCUUCUUUCUCCUUCUUGCUUGUAGGACAUUGUUUAGAAUUCAGUUUGUGAUGGCCUGCAAGUGGAGAGAUAACAGAUUUUGCAUCUUUCAUAUUGAACCUUUCAAGUACCUUCUCAAUGUAUCUUUCCUGUGAGAGCCAAAGCAGCUUCUUUGAUCUAUCACGGGAGAUCUUCAUGCCAAGUAUUUGCUUAGUUGGUCCUAAAUCCUUCAUGGCAAAUGAUUUACUCAAUGCCUUCUUGAGGAGAGCAAACCUCUUUGUGAUAUUUCCAACAAUAAGCAUAUCAUCAACAUACAACAAGAGAAUAAUGAAGUCACCCUCGGUGUACCUCUUCAUAAAGACACAAUGAUCAAAUUGUGCUUUAUGGUAACCAAGCCCAGUCAUAAAAGACUCAAACUUCUUGUACCACUGCCGAGGAGCUUGUUUCAAGCCAUAGAUGCUCUUCUUCAAUUUGCAAACUAAGUGCUCCUUACCUGCAACCAUGAAUCCCUCUGGCUGCUCCAUGUAUAUCUCCUCCUCUAGGUCACCAUGUAAGAAUGUUGUCUUCACAUCAAGUUGUUCAAUUUCCAAGUCCAUGGUGGCAGCCAUGCCAAGCACAACUCGGAUCGAAGACAUCUUGGCCACUGGAGAGAAUAUCUCAUCAUAAGCAAUGCCCCUUUUCUGACUAAAACCUUUCACGACCAAUCUAGCCUUGUACCUUGGAUGUGAGGUGUUUUCUUCAGUCUUUACUCUGUACACCCACUUGUUCUUGAUUGCUUUCUUGCCCUUUGGCAGAUUCACCAACUCAAAAGUAUCAUUCUCAUACAGGGAAUUCAUCUCAUCCUGCAUGGCUUCUGACAAUUCUUCCUUGUUCUCAUCAGACAUUGCCUCCUCAUAGCAUGAGGACUCACGUGCAUCUAUCAUCAACACAUAUUGUUGUGGAGGAUACCUAGAAGAAGGAAUGUGCCCCUUUCACUUCUUCUUUGCUGCUGCACUGGUGGUGAAUCAGGUGGAUUUUUGUUGGCAUCAUCAUUACCAACUUCACACUAGUAGAAAACGGGCCAUUUAUCCCAGUUCCAGAGGCCCUUUAGCCCCGGUUCUGGAACCGGGACUAAAGGGUCGGGACUAAAGCACAAAACCUUUAGUCCCGGUUCACUUAAGAACCGGAACAGAAGGGGCUCCAUGUGGCCGCUGCGGGGCGCCCAGGCAGGAGGACCUUUAGUCCCUGUUGGUAAUACCAACCGGGACCAAAAGGCCUCCACGCGUCAGCAGCUGGCAUGAGAUGGGGGUUUUGUUUUUUUAAAGGGGGGUUUAGGGGGGUUUUGAGGGUUAACUUAGGGGUUUGAUCAUAUUGUGUUAGCUAGCUAAUAGAGAGAAGUGACCUAUCUUUCUCCGUGCUUGGUCGAUGCUAGCUACUAUACGUAUAGAGAGAACUCGACAUGCUAGCUAGUAAGCAAAUGAAGGAACCAUUAAUUGCAGAAGAUCGUCAUGAACAUAUAUAUAUAAAGAAAAGUGAGACCUCUCUUUCUCUGAGAGAUUGGUCGGACAACAUGUUUUCGUAUAUCUAUUCGACGCUACUACAUAUAUAGAAUAUAACAUGUCUUACAGUCCCUAACAUCUAAAAUUGGUUCCAACUUCCACAUGGUAUUCUCCGGCUUUAGGUAUGACAUGGUCAAGAAAGAAUCCCGCCAAUUCCUCUUGAAUUGCUCGUAUGCGAUCAUGUAGUCGAAGUUCAUCCCGCAUCUGCCACAACUAAUUUAAACAAAGGGGGUCAAUACAUCUAUAUGAAUGAAACUCGACACAGUUCAUGGUAAUAAAAUAAAAUUGUGAAUAUUUUUGUUUACGUACUUCAUAUUGCUUUUUAGAGUAGCCCCGCUUAGAGGCCGUCGAGUUGUAGAUGAACUCACAAACAUAGUAUCCACAAAAAUCAUUCCCGGCUUCCUUCCACAAGCACUUUACGAGAAGUAGAGUUCAAUCAAACUGAUAAUCAAGCAUGCUAAAUAUUAUUGAUGAAACUAGCUAGAAUCAAUGGGAGAUGCACGGAACUAGCUAGUAGUACUUACUUUUGGGUGUGUAAAUCGCAUCUCCGUCGGCAGUCCAGGAACAAUUGCGGUGAACUCUUUCCAAACCCUGCCAGACAAAGACAAUAAUUACUUGAUAUUAGGAAAUGAACAAAGUUGCCGAUAUGGUGCGAUAAUGAUCGAUUGAACUUACUUCUGGAGCAUUUUAGUCAUGUUCACAUACUCCUGGGGAUCUUUUUGUAUCGAGUCUAAGACAGUUACUACUCCCCGGUCAAGCUUAAUCUCUAGCAGAAUAAAGUGGAAUCUGCGCAGGCAUGCAUAACUCAUCAAUUACAUUACUGUAACCUCGAGUAAGGGAAACCGAAUAUGCACAAGACAGUAACGCUCACUUGCAGUUGUAAGGAAAGAUUAUUUUUGAUUUGUUUUGAUUUACAAGCAAUGAUUGUAGCAAGUUGUCCUUGGUAUCCGUGACUCUAUUUCUAACCGUCCAUUCAUGUAUGAUAUUUGGGUUAAUGAACCCAAUGUCAUAGAUUUGUGCUUUUCUGCAUUCGACGAUCUUCAACCUGCAUAAUGUAGUGAAGAUAAUUAUCUAUACAUGCAAUGAAAGAGCAGAGCUAUAUAUAGGGACUUAAUUACAUAAGUAAUACUUACAGAUAGUAGCAAGUCACAAGUUGUUUGUUGAGGGUCAUUUGAUUGUAUAACUGGAAUAGCUCCACAAAUUCAGCAUGCAACAGCUCGGUUCCAAAGAAUUUGUGCUCCUUUUUAAUUCUCAGCAUGAAACUAUUCUUCCCAGACUCACUGUAGGUUUUCAUGUACCAUUCAUGCAAUCUUCGCAUCAUCGUUGAUAGAGGAGGAUGAUCAGGUUUGACAGAGGCAUCCCGUACUCGUAUUUGAAGGUGUCCGCCUUCAUUAUUUCAAACUCUACAUCAUCGCUCAAGUAAUCAGCAGGAUUGGUACCGGGCACCAUCCCCGGAUGAUUAGCAACGAUAUCGCUAGCGGGGAGGCACGUUUGGUUCGCAUGUUUGCCGAGCUGGGGAUUUUUUUCCCACUUCUUCAUUCUGCUAACCUUGCAUCACUGCAAGUACUUCCCGGCCGCUCUGGUUCCUUAUAUGUCUUUUUAAUAAGGCGGACAUAGUUGGAAUCUGGUGGAGGCGGUGGUGGUCGCUUCAAGGCAUCGAUAGUUCGCUUCGCUUCACUGGAUCUACCGUUUCCUUGGAUGUGGCGAUUUCCAUGCAAAAUGGUCCCUCACUUGGGCACGACAGAUGUCCUUGUUUUCCUUGUCGGUCCUCUCAUAUGGUAACUUUUCCUGAGCCUUGAGAGAUGGACCUUAUUUGAAUUUCUUCCCGCCUCUGCUUGUACUGCUAGCCGCCGGAACGGUAGUGUCUCUCUUCCGCCAUUGCUGACGCGGCGGAGUCUGUUGACACGCCGGAGGAGGCAGAGUGCUCCGACGCAUCGGAGGAAGCGGAGGAGGAGCGUGCCCUCACGCGCCGGAGGAGGGGGAGUGCUCGUCGGAUGAGGCGAAGGAGGAGUCGGAGUUACGUCAAGCGCCGGAGGAGGCGGAGUGCCCUGGUCACUCGCCGGAGGAGGAGGCGGAAGAGGAGGCGGAGUGCCCUAACUCACCGGUGGAGGAGGCGUACAGUUUGGAAGCUUGAUGUACUCCUUCCUCCAUAGACAUGUACUCCAUAAAGUAGCUCCCAGAUGAUUCUCCCAUUCACAUGUAGGGUGGUCAAGCUCCAGCUCCUGAAAUCCCCCCAUUAUUUCAUCCACCAUCACAACAGCAUAUCCAUGUGGAAUCAUACGGCAGUCAAAAGAUUCAUCAGCUUGAGGAGGUGCAACAGACCCGACAGCCGCCUUCAAAGUCAGGUUCAGCCAUUUCGUCAUAAGCUCGCAAUGUUGAGCUUCCGCAAUAGUAUCCACGGGGUAGCGAGGAGCCGUGAAAUCAGGCUGAAGGAGCUUCGUGGAAGCCACGCUACUUCUCCGCUGAGAUGGCGGCGUAGCUUCAUGCCGCUGAGAUGGUUGGCUGGUAGCUGCAAGUUCCUCUAACUUCCCUAAUCUUGCAUUGAGCUUCUGCAUUUCACUCAGCUCCGCUUUCCUCUUUCUCUCUCGGCAUCUGUAACCGCCUGCGUCAGGGAACCCAUGGACCCAUACAACGGAGCCUGGUGUGCCUCGUGUUCGUCCAGGGUGCUUAGUAUUCCCGAGGGCCUCAGUCAGCUCGUCCUUCUCUCUAUCGGGAAUGAACGUCCCUUUCUGCGUUGUGGCAAUAUAAUCCUGAAGCUUCUUGACGGAUAUUGCAAGUUGCUCGUCCGUCCAACGACACUCCCUUGUUUCUGGGUCCAAAGUGUUGGGGAUCGUUGCCGAAAUUAAAAAAUUUCUACGCAUCACCAAGAUCAAUCUAUGGAGUAACUAGCAACGAGAGAGAGGGGAGUGCAUCUUCAUACCCUUGAAGAUCGUGACUCGGAAGCGUUACAAGAACGCGGAUGAAGGAGUCGUACUUGAAGCGAUUCAGAUCACGGUGGAUUCCGAUCUUAGCACCGAACAACGGCACCUCCGCGUUCAACACACGUGCAGCCCGGUGACAUCUCCCGCGCCUUGAUCCAGCAAGGAGGAGGGAGAGGUUGAGGAAGAAGGCUCCAAUAGCAGCACGACGGCGUGGUGGUGAUGGAGUGGCAGUACUCCGGCAAGGCUUCGCCAAGCUCUUGUGGAUGAGGAGAGGUGUUGGGGAGGGGAAGGGCUACGCCUUGGAUGUGAUGUUGUCCCCUCGCCCCUCUAUUUAUAGGAGAAAGGGGAAGGGGGGCCGGCCCCUCUAGAUGGGAUCUAGAGGGGGCAGCGGCCAAGGGGGGAGGGGACUUGCCCCCCAAGCAAGGGGAGGCGCCCCCCUUAGGGUUCCCCCCAACCCUAGGCGCAUGGGCCCUAGGGGGGGUAGCGCCCAGCCCUCCAAGGGGCUGGUUCCCUUCCCUCUACAGCCCAUGAGACCCUCCGGGGCAGGUGGCCCCUCCCAGUGGACCCCCGGAACCCCUCCGGUGGCCCCGGUACAAUACCGGUAAGCCCCCGAAUAUUUCCGGUGACCGUAUGACAACUUCCCAUAUAUAAAUAUUCACCUCCGGACCAUUCCGGAACUCCUCGUGACGUCCGCGGUCUCAUCCGGGGACUCCGAACAACAUUUGGUAAUCACAUACAAAUCUUCCUAAUAACCCUAGCGUCAUCGAACCUUAAGUGUGUAGACCCUAUGGGUUCGGGAAUCACGCAGACAUGACCGAGACAGCUCUCCGGCCAAUAACCAACAGCGGGAUCUGGAUACCCAUGUUGUCUCCCACAUGUUCCACGAUGAUCUCAUCGGAUGAACCACGAUGUCGAGGAUUCAAGUAAUCCCGUAUACAAUUCCCUUUGUCAAUCGGUACGUUCCUUGCCCGAGAUUCGAUCGUUGGUAUCCCAAUACCUUGUUCAAUCUCAUUACCGGAAAGUCACUUUACUUGUUCCAUAAUGCAUGAUCCCGUGACUAACCACUUAGUCACAUUGAGCUCAUUACGAUGAUGCAUUACUGAGUGGGCCAAGAGAUACCUCUCCGUCAUACAGAGUGACAAAUUCCAGUCUCGAUUCGUGCCAACCCAACAGACACUUUCGGAGAUACCUGCAGUGCACCUUUAUAGUCAUCCAGUUACGUUGUGACGUUUGGUACACUCAAAGCACUCUUAUGGUAUCCGGGAGUUACACAAUCUCAUGGUCUAAGAAAAUGAUACUUGACAUUAGAAAAGCUUUAGCAAACGAACUACACGAUCUUGUGCUAUGCUUAGUAUUGGGUCUUGUCCAUCACAUCAUUCUCCCAAUGAUGUGAUCUUGUUAUCAAUGACAUCCAAUGUCCAUAGUCAGGAAACCAUGACCAUCUGUUGAUCAACGAGCUAGUCAACUAGAGGCUCACUAGGGACAUGUUGUGUCUAUGUAUUCACACAUGUAUCAUGGUUUCCGGUUAAUACAAUUAUAGCAUGAACAAUAGACAAUUAUCAUGAACAAGGAAAUAUAAUAAUAAUCAUUUUAUUAUUGCCUCUAGGGCAUAUUUCCAACAGUCUCUCACUUGCACUAGAGUCAAUAAUCUAGUUACACUGUGAUGAAUCGAACACCCAUAGAGUUCUGGUGUUGAUCAUGUUUUGCUCGCGGAAGAGGUUUAGUCAACGGAUCUGCGACAUUCAGAUCCGUAUGCACUUUGCAAAUAUCUAUGUCUCCAUCUUGAACAUUUUCAUGAAUGGAGUUGAAGCGACGCUUGAUGUGCCUGGUCUUCUUGUGAAACUUGGGCUCCUUAGCAAGGGCAAUAGCUCCAGUGUUGUCACAGAAGAGAGUCAUCGACCCCGACGCAUUGGGAAUAACUCCUAGGUCGGUAAUGAACUCCUUCAUCCAGAUUGCUUCAUGUGCUGCCUCCGAGGCUGCCAUGUACUCCGCUUCACAUUUAGAUCCUGCCACGACGCUUUGCUUGCUGCUGCACCAGCUUACUGCCCCACAAUUCAAAAUAUACACGUAUCCGGUUUGUGACUUGGAGUCAUCCAGAUCUGUGUCGAAGCUAGCAUCGACGUAACCCUUUACGACGAGCUCUUCGUCACCUCCAUAAACAAGAAACAUAUCCUUAGUCCUUUUCAGGUACUUCAGGAUAUUCUUGACCGCUGUCUAGUGUUCCAUGUCGGGAUUACUUUGGUACCUUGCUACCAAACUUACGGCAAGGUUUACAUCAGGUCUGGUACACGGCAUGGCAUACAUAAUAGACCCUAUGGCCGAGGCAUAGGGGAUGACACUCAUCUUUUCUCUAUCUUCUGCCGUGGUCAGGCCUUGAGUCAAGCUCAAUUUCACACCUUGCAAUACAGGCAAGAACCCUUUCUUGGACUGAUCCAUAUUGAACUUCUUCAAUAUCUUCUCAAGGUAUGUGCUUUGUGAAAGACCUAUGAGGUGUCUCGAUCUAUCUCUAUUGAUCUUGAUGCCUAAUAUAUAAGCAGCUUCUCCAAGGUCCUUCAUUGAAAAACACUUAUUCAAGUAGGCCUUUAUGAUGUCCAAAAGUUCUAUAUCAUUUCCCAUCAAAAGUAUGUCAUCCACAUAUAAUAUGAGAAAUGCUACAGAGCUCCCACUCACUUUCUUGUAAAUGCAGGCUUCUCCAUAAGUCUGCAUAAACCCAAAAGCUUUGAUCAUUUCAUCAAAGCGAAUGUUCCAACUCUGAGAUGCUUGCACCAGCCCAUAGAUGGAGCGCUGGAGCUUGCACACCUUGUUAGCAUUCUUAGGAUCGACAAAACCUUCCGACUGCAUCAUAUAAAAUUCUUCCUUAAGAUAGUCGUUAAGGAAUGCCGUUUUGACGUCCAUUUUCCAUAUCUCAUAAUCAUAGUAUGCGGCAAUUGCUAACAUGAUUCGGACGAACUUCGGCUUCGCUACGGGAGAGAAAGUCUCAUCGUAGUCAACCCUUUGAACUUGUUGAUAACCCUUAGCGACAAGUCGAGCUUUAUAGAUGGUAACAUUACUGUCCGCGUCCGUCUUCUUCUUAAAGAUCCAUUUAUUUUCUAUCGCUCGCCGAUCAUCAGGCAAGUCUGUCAAAGUCCAUACUUUGUUUUCAUACAAGGAUCCUAUCUCGGAUUGCAUGGCUUCAAGCCAUUUGUUGGAGUCUGGGCCCGCCAUUGCUUCUUCAUAGUUCGAAGGUUCACCGUUGUCUAACAACAUGAUUUCCAAGACAGGGUUGCCAUACCAUUCUGGUGUGGAACGUGUCCUUGUGGACCUACGAAGUUCAGUAGCAACUUGAUCUGAAGUACCUUGAUCAUCAUCAUUAACUUCCUCUCUAGUCGGUGCAGGCACCACAGGAACAUCUUCCUGAGCUGCGCUACUUACCGGUUCAAGAGGUAGUACUUCAUCAAGUUCCACUUUCCUCCCACUUACUUCUUUCCAGAGAAACUCUUUCUCCAGAAAGGACCCGUUAUUGGCAACGAAAAUCUUGCCUUCGGAUCUGCGGUAGAAGGUAUACCCAAUGGUUUCCUUAGGGUAUCCUAUGAAGACGCAUUUUUUCGACUUGGGUUCGAGCUAUUCAGGUUGAAGUUUCCUGACAUAAGCAUCGCAUCCCCAAACUUUUAGAAACGAUAGCUUAGGUUUCUUCCCAAACCAUAAUUCAUACGGUGUCGUCUCAACGGAUUUAGAUGGUGCCCUAUUUAAAGUGAAUGUAGUUGUCUCUAAAGCGUAUCCCCAAAAUGAUAGCGGUAAAUCGGUAAGAGACAUCAUAGACCGCACCAUAUCCAAUAGAGGGCGAUUACGAUGUUCGGACACAUUGUUACGCUGAUGUGUUCUAGGCGGCGUGAGUUGUGAAACAAUUCCACAUUUCCUUAAGUGCGUACCAAACUUGUGACUUAAAUAUUCUCCCCCAUGAUCUUAUCAUAAGAACUUUAUUUUCUGUCACGUUGAUUCUCUACCUCAUUCUGAAAUUCCUUGAACUUUUCAAAGGUCUCAGACUUGUGUUUCAUUAAGUAGACAUACCCAUAUCUACUUAAGUCAUCAGUGAGGGUGAGAACAUAAUGAUAGCCACCGCGAGCCUCAACGCUCAUUGGACCGCACACAUUAGUAUGUAUAAUUUCCAAUAAGUUGGUUGCUCGCUCCAUUGUUCUGGAGAACGGAGUCUUGGUCAUUUUGCCCAUGAGGCAUGGUUCGCACGUGUCAAAUGAUUCAUAAUCAAGAGACUCCAAAAUUCCAUCUGCAUGGAGCUUCUUCAUGCGUUUGACACCAAUGUGACCAAGGCGGCAGUGCCACAGGUAUGUGGGACUAUCAUUAUCAAUCUUACAUCUUUUUGGUAUUCACACUAUGGAUAUGUGUAACAUCGUGUUCGAGAUUCAUUAAGAAUAAACCAUUGACCAGCGAGGCAUGACCAUAAAACAUAUCUCUCAUAUAAAUAGAACAACCAUUAUUCUCGGAUUUAAAUGAGUAGCCAUCUCGUAUUAAAUGAGAUCCAGAUACAAUGUUCAUGCUCAAAGAUGGCACUAAAUAACAAUUAUUGAGGUUCAAAACUAAUCCCAUAGGUAAAUGUAGAGGUAGCAUGCCGACGGCGAUCACAUCGACCUUGGAACCAUUCCUGACGCGCAUCGUCACCUCGUCCUUCGCCAGUCUCCGCUUAUUCCAUAGCUCCUGUUUUGAGUUACAAAUAUGAGCUAUCGCACCGGUAUCAAAUACCCAGGAGCUACUAUGAGUACUGGUAAGGUACACAUCAAUAACAUGUAUAUCACAUAUACCUUUGGUGUUGCCGGCCUUCUUAUCCGCUAAGUACUUGGGGCAGUUCCGCUUCCAGUGACCGUUUCCCUUACAAUAAAAUAACUUGGAGAGUUGGAAGAUAAAAGCUUGUCUGACUUAGUUCAUGUUAAGGGAUAUCUUUUUGUGUGUGUGUGUUCAAGAAAGAUGAUAUCUUCACCGAUUGGUCCCUGUGCUCAGUUAAUGGACCUAUCAUCUUAUCCAAUCUUUGAUUUGAGUGUGGGCUAUUCUCAAAUCAAAUCAGAACCAACGAUGUUCGUAAUGUUGUCUUAUUCGUGGUUGAACCCUCGAGCAUACACCAUUACAUCUUUUGGUCUGACCAAUGCUAUCACCUUGUUCACAUAAUUGUGGUAUUCCACUUAUAUGGAAACCUAGAUGAAUUGAUGUUGAGCCCAUCAGCAGCAUUUUAUCUCCUCCAUAAUUCAUGAUGAACAUCAGGCUAUUGUUGGAAAUUUGUGUAAGCAUUAUCUUCGUGUUCCGUUCAUGAAGGAUAUGCUUGGAUGAAAGAAGUGACUUCCUCUAAUUCAUGUGCAGUUGGUGCAAGUUGCCGCCGUGAAUUCGAGAAAGUUGGUUUUGCUUCCUCUGGAAUCAUCCCAAGUCAGUCAUGCACGUGCGAAGAAUUAUGUGGUCUGUUAGACUGAUCAUCUUCGUUCCAUAUGAAUUUCGUAGCACAUCUAGCCACUAACUGAUUUGUUCAAGGAAAAGAAGUCUAUGCUUGGGAUCUAAUCCAUGGACUUGGGUAAGAACUUCGAUAUCCUCAAUGAUUGUUCCCUACCAGAACUCGGUAGUGUUUUAUUGUAAGACUACCAUGUGAUCAUGCUUGUCUGGGCUAGUGUGUUCACAUGUGUGUAGCAGAACUAGCUCAUGUUUUGGAGCUUGCUAUUGUAGUUCAUUUCCCGAGAAUCUCGCAACGUCAUUUCGUCGAUUUGUGUUGCAAACUUUCAUUUUUCUUCCUAGACUCGAUGAGUCUGGAAUAUCCUGACACCAACCAGAUCCGAAUCUCAGGCAGAUAUGAUGGUUGGAACAUUUCCCAAGAACUAUAAUAUUGGUCCCUCGAUAAUCGGUAAAGUGGAUUUCAUGGCCAACACACCCAGCCGGAAGACCUAUUAUUGUAGUAUCUUGUUUGAGGAAGUUGGCCACCUCCCCAUAAGGAUUUUGUAGGAUCUACUCCCUAGUUCCUUAUGGAUUUUUGUGUUCCCGAAGUCUGAUCUUUUACUUGAUGUUCUAGUUACCAAACCAUUUCAAUGAAUGGGAUACGCUAGCAUAACAAGGGGAACAUUAGAAGCGGAGUGCUAAAUGUCCCUCGGUCGAUCAUCCAGAUUUCGUCCCCUUGGCCUCGCUAAGGUGAAAUCUGAGAAGGUGUUGUUUUCCUUUGCACCUGCAUCCUCCAUCAUUAUUCAUCAUGGUAGUAUGAUGUGACACCAGGAUCCUCGGCACGGAUGUUGGUAAAACCUUGAUGAAUAUGGAAAUGCUCAAGUUCUGGAGAGCACGCGCAAGCAAAAUCAUCCCUUGUGUUGUUUUCAACAAGGUAAUCCACAUCAUCCAUUCUAGUCUGGGUAUGCCAUUCUACCGAACCCCUCUAAAAGAUCGCUCGAGAAUUGCCUUAGGCUGGUAUAAAGAGUUUCAAUGAUCUCUGAAUCAAAGGUAAUUCUUUUUGCCACUUAAGGGGAUAUUUCUACGAGUCACCUUCCCUAAGGUGCAUCGUUAUGGUAUCAUGGCAACUCAAUUCCCCGCUACGUUGACAACCAUUCACCGCCUUCUUAGGUGUGGAAUUGUUGUCUACCUAGUGAACCCUCGUCAUCUGUUCCACUCCAUCCCUCUAGAUGUGUGCUUCGUGUCUCAGUUCGAGAGAUAUUGUUAUGUCUCAUUCUGUGAGUUAAUCCCGAGUUGUUCGAUCUUCGAGAAGAUCGAUCCUUCUAGAGUCUCCUUCUUCUCUCCUUGUCAUGUUAGCUGGAGUUCUCAGAACAAGACGACAAGACAAAGAUGGUGGUCGAAUCAACGCUCUUAUAAAGUGCAACCUCGGUCGUGAAGAUUUUGUUAGUUUGCGUUCCCCCUUCAUCCUACCCUACGCUUGAAUCUCGGGACGAGAUUCUUGUUUAGUAGGGGUGAGCUGUCACAUCCCUAGCUGCUGGUAGUGCUCUAGGCUAGCUUCAUGUGUGCAUCAUGUCUAUAUUUUUGAAACUUGAAUUGAGGAAUUUUGAAAGCCUCAAAAACUUAAUUAAAAGCAGGGCAAAGAACCCUAGAAAUCUCAUUCUAUGUUCCAAGAUGUCCUUUUGCAAUGUUUGAGAAUUUUGGCAAGAGCUAUAUAUCAAACCAAAAUUUAGGAACAUUUUUAAGGAAUUAUUUUGGGACUUUGAAUUUAAAUCAAUACUAUUUUUGAAUUUGAACUUAUAUCCAAAUAUAUACUGAAUAUAUGUUCAAAUAACUGAAACAAUUUUAUGUGCUUUGGUAUAAUUCCAUUGUGCUAAAUAAAAUGUUCAGGGGAAUUUUGUCACUGUCUUUGAAUUUGUUUUAUUUAGAAACAGUGGCAAAAGGAAGUAAAUUAAACAAAACAGAAGAAAAAUUAAAAAAGAGCAGAAGACCUACCUGUUGCUCACCUGGCAGCCCAGCUGGCCUGGCACUGUUGGCCCAGCCCACCAGGGGCAAGGUUGUCUUCAACCUUGUGCCCACUGGCAGCCAGCGCACGCACCCGACCACACCACCUCCUGCUUCGUCGUGUCGCGCUCUCCGUUAACCCAAUCCCGCGCCUGGAGACGCCUCGAAGCCCCUCUCGCCUCUCCCUCACUCGCUGCACUCUCUCCCCCUCCUCUGCCUCUCCUGCGUGCAGCCACCGAAUGGAGCCGCCGCCACCGUCGCCGUUCGCCGCUACCACCGACCUCCCCCCGCCCUUCCGGAUAUGCGAUGAGCUCCGCCUCGACGCCGUAGAGCCGCACGCCAAAGCACGCAUCCCCAGGAGGCCAGCAACGCCGCCAUCGCGGUCAUCUUCAACCUCAGGCACUCGGGCCCCUCGCCAUCGAUUCGCGCCGUCAAGGAUGUCCCCGAGCCCACUGACCUACUGCACCGCCUCCCUGUGAGCUCCUGCUCCCAACCCCUCUCUCCCCGCCGUCGAAUCCCUCCUCUAUUCCCCCUGGCCACCGCGGCGGAAGCUCACCGCCGUCACGCCUACCACCGCCGUCGUUGCAGGUCACCGAACUCGCGUCCGAGCACGACCUCGAGCUCGUGGAUCUCCCAGGAGCCCGCCCAGCCUCUCAGCUCGCUCGCUCGCUCGCCAAGCGUAGCCCCGCGCCCGUGCUGGCCCGAACUCCGGCCACCGCCGCGAGCUUGCCUCCGGCGAGCUCGGGCCACCUCAGCCCCUGCCGUUUUUACAGAUGGAUGCGGGCGAGUCCCAGCUCCACGUAGAUGCCCUCAUCCGCCCCUUUGGUCGCCGGAGAUGCAAACCCGAGCGUCUCUGCCGCUCUGCUUGGUCGCCGGCGGCUAACCGCCGGUGUGUCCGACGUGGUCGCGUGGUUAGUGUUAAUUACGGCCAACUAACCCCCCAAAGCCACUGACAGCCGGGCCCCACAGCCUAACUAACCGACUAACUAAGUAAGUUUAAGAUUAAUCUAAUUACAGUGGGCCCACGUGUCAAUUUGAUUAUGCUGAUGUGGGCGUUGACUUGACCCCACAUGUCUGUGACCCUAGCCAUCACUGUGAGACUGACCAGCGGGUCCCGCUGGUCAGAUUUGACCUGGAGAGCAUCUGUUGACUUGAUGACGUCACACCGACGUCAUGCCGACGCAGUAAUACAUUUUCUGGAUUAAGUUUAUUUUUAGAAUAACCAGGAAAAUCCAGAAAAUUGCCUAAACUUCUAAAAAUCAUAGUAAAUCAACCGUAACUCCAAAUGCAAAGAUUUAUAUAUGAAAAAUGAUUAGAAAAAUCCAAUCUAUCCAUCUGUACCAUUUUCAUGCAUGUUUGAACAACUUAAAUCUGCUGUAUAUAACAAUUUGAAUAAAUGGCAUUUGAAACGCCUUAUGUGGAGUUUGAAUUUGAAUCUGGUAUUCAAACCAACUUCAUUUAAAUUGUUGCUAGUUGCAUUAGCUCAAACCACAGCAUGUUGCCAUGUCAUGAUCAUGCAUCAUAUUGUUGCAUUGCAUUGAUUGUGUUCUUCCUUGUUUGCCGGUAUUCGUCCCCUCUCAGUAGACGUGGUUCCGACGAUGAGUUCGAUGACACCGAUGAAGAACUAUAUUAUCUUCAGAAGUGUCAGGCAAGCAAAACCCCCUUGUUCAUUCCGAUACAAUCCCACUCUCUCGCUCCUGCUCUCUUUUACUGCAUUAGGACAACAACGGUUCAUCUGUUACUUGCUGCGGUAGUUGAACCCCUUUAUCCUCUGCAUGACCUGUCAUUGCCACAGUAAAUAGAUGAAACCCACUAGCAUGAGUAGGAGUUGUUUGAGCCCUGAUGUGCCUACUCAUUCAUGCUUGUUUGUCAUCCCUGCUAUUGCUUAGAGUUGUGUCAGGUCUGAUUCAUCGGGGAUGAAUUGGAGGUGUGUAAACAUGUCCUACUGUGUGUGAGCUAAGUGUGUGAACACGAUUUGGUAAAGGUAGCGGUGAGAGGCCAUGUAGGAGUACAUGGUGGGUUGUCUCAUUGCAGCCGUCCUCAGGAACUGAGUUCUGUGUUUGUGAUCCAUGAACAGAUACUAUCACACAUUGGGUUCCGAUAACUCGACCCCUCUCGACUUAUUAAUCAACGUGAUCUCUGUCCAGGAGUUGCAACUAGUUUCUGGUGUUUGUAGGUAGUGUUAGUAGUCUACCAAGUGGCACCCGGUACAGGUGGGCUUGGGACAGACUAGGCACCGUGGCACGGUGUACCAAGCGUAGAUCCACCCGUCGAGGUGGGCUUGGGAACCCUGCACACAACGUUUGGGGCCGUGAGCGACACCCCGGCCGGAUCUCCUUGCGGAUGGAACCCGAAUAGGCGAUAAACCUGGACGAGAGACUUGUGUGGUUAGUUAGGUCGUGGCCGACACCCUCGCUGGGCUUCCGCUUGAAGGUUGCCGAGUACAUGUCGUGUAAACGGCGGUAAGUGGUGACAGCGUGUGUGAAGAAGUACACCCCUGCAGGGUUAACAUUAUCUAUUCAAAUAGCCGUGUCCGCGGAAAAGGACUUCUGGGUUGCCUGUACAGUUCGUAGACAAGUGAAAGUGGAUACUCUAAAAUACGCAAGAUAAGCGUGAGUGCUAUGGAUGGCGUUCUCGUAGGGAGACGGGAGCGGAUCCAUAGUGGUGUAUUGAUAUGGUGAAUAUGUGGACUCGUGUGCGCCACCUCAAAAGAGUUACUUGCGGUCGUAGUUUAGGAUAGCCACCGAGUCAAAGCUGGCCUGCUGCAGUUAAACCCCACCAUCCCCUUUGUUGAUAAUGAUGCAUAUGUAGCUAGAUCUGAUGUAAGUCUUGUUGGGUACAUUUGUACUCACGUUUGCCUAUUUUACGUUUUUGCAGAGAGACUUCAGUCUCGCUAGUAAUUCUGCGUGGAUUUCGACGUUUAGCUUGUUACCUCAGCUACGAUCUUGUGCCCUCGGCAGGAUCUAGUAGACAGUCAGGCUUCUUAGCCUUUUCCUUUGUAGAUGUCUGUACUCAGACAUGUUAAGCUUCCGCAUGUGCUUUGACUUGUAUGCUCUGAUGUUGGGUCAUGAGACCCAUGUUUGUAAUAUCUCGCUCCUCGGAGCCUAUUGAAUAAAUACAUGAGUCAUAGAGUCAUGUUGUGAUGCCAUGUUGUAUUUGCACAUAUCGAGCAUAUUGUGUGUAUGUUAUUGAAAUGCUUGGUAUGUGUGGGAUCUAACAACCUAGUUGUUUAUCCUUGGUAGCCUCUCUUACCGGGAAAUGUCUCCUAGUGUUUCCACUGAGCCAUGGUAGCUUGCUACUGCUCCGGAACACUUAGGCUGGCCGGCAUGUGUCCUUCUUCAUUCCUGUGUCUGUCCCUUCGGGGAAAGGUCAUGCGAUGAAUACCAGAGUCCUGUUAGCCCGCUACAGCCCGGUUCACCGGAGUCCUGCUAGCCCAGUGCUACAGCCUGGAUUCACUCGCUGAUGACCGACACGUUCGAUGUUGGGUCAUGGAUGUCUGUCCCUGUAAGUUUGUGCCACUUUGGGUUUACGACUAGCCAUGUCAGCCCGGGCUCCUUAUCAUAUGGAUGCUAGCGACACUAUCAUAUACGUGUGCCAAAAGACGCAAACGGUCCCGGGCAAAGGUAAGGCGACACCCGUGGGGAUACCGUGCGUGAGGCCGCAAAGUGAUAUGUGGUGUUACAUGCUAGAUCGAUGUGGCAUUGAGUCGGGGUCCUGACAAGGAGCGACUGAAGGAUUCUGUCAAUGACCGCCUCAUCCGGGAGGUUAAUUUCCAGUUGAGACAAGCAGUUGUGCAACACGGACAUUUUGAGUAUGUGCUCGCUGACAGAACUAUUCUCCUCCAUCUUACAACUGUAGAACUUGUCGGAGACUUCAUAUCUCUCGACCCGUGCAUGAGCUUGGAAAACCAUUUUCAGCUCUUGGAACAUCUCAUAUGCUCCGUACUGCUCGAAAUGCUUUUGGAGCCCCGGUUCUAAGUUGUAAAGCAUGCCGCACUGAACCAGGGAGUAAUCAUGAACACGCGACUGUCAAGCGUUCAUAACGUCUUGGUUUGCUGGGACGGGUGCUUCACCUAGCGGUGCUUCUAAGACAUAUGCUUUCUUGGCAGCUAUGAGGAUGAUCCUCAUGUUCCGGACCCAGUCCGUAUAGUUGCUACCAUCGUCUUUCAGCUUGGUUUUCUCUAGGAACGCGUUGAAGUUGAGGUUGACAUGAGCGUGGGCCAGUUGAUCUACAAGACAUUUUGCAAAAGUUUUAGACUAAGUUCAUGAUAAUUAAGUUCAUCUAAUCAAAUUAUUUAAUGAACUCCCACUCAGAUAGACAUCCCUCUAGUCAUCUAAGUGAUGCAUGAUCCGAGUCAACUAGGCCAUGUCCGAUCAUCACGUGAGACGGACUAGUCAUCAUCGGUGAACAUCUUCAUGUUGAUCGUAUCUUCUAUACGACUCAUGUUCGACCUUUCGGUCUCUUGUGUUCCGAGGCCAUGUCUGUACAUGCUAGGCUCGUCAAGUCAACCUAAGUGUUUUGCAUGUGUAAAUCUGGCUUACACCCGUUGUAUGUGAACAUUAGAAUCUAUCACACCCGAUUAUCACGUGGUGCUUCGAAACAAUGAACUUUCGCAACGGCGCACAGUUAGGGGAAACACUUUCUUGAAAUUAUUAUGAGGGGUCAUCUUAUUUACUACCUCGUUCUAAGCAAAUAAGAUGCAAAAACACGAUAAACAUCACACGCAAUCAAAUAGUGACAUGAUAUGGCCAAUAUCAUUUUGCUCCUUUUGAUAUCCAUCUUCGGGGCGCCAUGAUCAUCAUCGUCACCGGCAUGACACCAUGAUCUCCAUCAUCAUGAUCUCCAUCGUCGUGUCUCCAUGAAGUUGUCUCGCCAACUAUUACUUCUACUACUAUGGCUAACGGUUUAGCAAUGAAGUAAAGUAAUUACAUGGCGUUAUUCAGUGACACACAAGUCAUACAAUAAAUAAAGACAACUCCUAUGGCUCCUGCCGGUUGUCAUACUCAUCGACAUGCAAGUCAUGAUUCCUAUUACAAGAAUAUGAUCAAUCUCAUACAUCACAUAUAUUUCAUUCAUCACAUCCUUUUUGGCCAUAUCACAUCACACAGCAUAUGCUGCAAAAACAAGUUAGACGUCCUCUAAUUGUUGUUGCAAGUUUUUACGUGGAUGCUAUAGGUUUCUAGCAAGAACGUUUCUUACCUACGCCAAAACCACAACGUGAUAUGCCAAUUGCUAUUUACCCUUCAUAAGGACCCUUUUCAUCGAACCCGAUCCGACUAAAAUGGGAGAGACAGACACCCGCUAGCCACCUUAUGCAACUAGUGCAUGUCAGUCGGUGGAACCUAUCUCAUGUAAGCGUACGUGUAAGGUCGGUCCGGGCCGCUUCAUCCUACGAUGCUGCCGAAACAAGAUAAGACUAGUAGUGGCAAGUAAAUUGACAAAAUCGACGCCCACAACAAACUUGUGUUCUACUCGUGCAUAGAAACUACGCGUAGACCUAGCUCAUGAUGCCACCGUUGGGGAUCGUUGCAGAAAUUAAAAAAAUUAUACGCAUCACCAAGAUCAAUCUAUGGAGUAACUAGCAACGAGAGAGAGGGGAGUGCAUCUUCAUACCCUUGAAGAUCGCGAGUCGGAAGCAUUACAAGAACGCGGAUGAAGGAGUCGUACUGGAAGCGAUUUAGAUCGCGGUGGAUUCCGAUCUUAGCACCGAACAAUGGCACCUCCGCGUUCAACACCCGUGUAGCCCGGUGACAUCUCUUGUGCCUUGAUCCAGCAAGGAGGAGGGAGAGGUUGAGGAAGAAGUCUCCAACAUCAGCACGACAGCAUGGUGGUGAUGGAGUGGCAGUACUCCGGCAGGGCUUCGCCAAGCUCUUGCGGAGGAAGAGAGGUGUUGGGGAGGGGAGGGUCUGCGCCUUGGAUGUGAUGUCGCAGCCCUCCCCUCGCCCUCUAUUUAUAGGAGAAAGAGGAAGGGGGUCCGGCCCCUCUAGAUGGGAUGUAGAGGGGGGCGGCAGCCAAGGGGGGAGGGGACUUGCCACCCAAGCAAGGGGAGGCGCCCCCCUUAGGGUUCCCCCCAACCCUAGGCGCAUGGGCCCUAGGGGGUGGAGCCCAGCCCUCCAAGGGGCUGGUUCCCUUCCCUCUACAGCCCAUGAGGCCCUCCAGGACAGGUGGCCCCUCCCGGUGGACCCCCGGAACCCCUCCGGUGGCCCCGGUACAAUACCGGUAAGCCCACGAAUAUUUCCGGUGACCUUAUGACAACUUCCCAUAUAUAAAUCUUCACCUCCGGACCAUUCCGGAACUCCUCGUGACAUCCGGGAUCUCAUCUGGGACUCCGAACAACAUUCAGUAAUCACAUACAAAUCUUCCUAAUAACCCUAGCAUCAUCGAACCUUAAGUAUGUAGACCCUACGGGUUCAGGAAUCACGCAGACAUGACCGAGAUAGAUCUCCGACCAAUAACCAACAACAGGAUCUGGAUACCCAUGUUGGCUCCCACAUGUUCCAUGAUGAUCUCAUGGGAUGAACCACUAUGUUGAGGAUUCAAGUAAUCCCAUAUACAAUUCCCUUUGUCAAUCGGUACGUUACUUGCCCGAGAUUCGAUCAUCGAUAUCCCAAUACCUCGUUUAAUCUCGUUACCGGCAAGUCACUUUACUCGUUCCAUAAUGCAUGAUCCCGUGACUAACCACUUAGUCACCUUGAGCUCAUUAUGAUGAUGCAUUACCGAGUGGGCCCAGAGAUACCUCUCCGUCAUACGGAGUGACAAAUUCCAGUCUCGAUUCGUGCCAACCCAACAGACACUUUUGAAGAUACCUGCAAUGCACCUUUAUAGUCACCCAGUUACGUUGUGACGUUUGGUACACCCAAAGCACUCUUACGGUAUCCGGGAGUUACACAAUCUCAUGGUCUAAGGAAAUGAUACUUGACAUUAGAAAAGCUUUAGCAGACGAACUACACGAUCUUGUGCUAUGCUUAGUAUUGGGUCUUGUCCAUCACAUCAUUCUCCCAAUGAUGUGAUCUCGUUAUCAAUGACAUCCAAUGUCCAUAGCCAGGAAACCAUGACCAUCUGUUGAUCAACGAGCUAGUCAACUAGAGGCUCACUAGGGACAUGUUGUGGUGUAUGUAUUCACACAUGUAUCACGGUUUCUGAUUAAUACAAUUAUAGCAUGAACAAUAGACAAUUAUCAUGAACAAGGAAAUAUAAUAAUGAUCAUUUUAUUAUUGCCUCUAGGGCAUAUUUCCAACACAAAGUUCCCCCAACCCUGAAGAAUCAAGUCCUUGAACGGUCUGGCCAGUUCAGUGUCACUGCUUGGACCCUUUAGCAAUCAGGUCAUUUUCAGCUUUGUCCCACAAUGGCUAGGCUUUGUGGUAGCCAUCUGACCCCAUGUGAUGGUGAUACUGCUUCUUUGCAGCAUUUUUCGUGUUUGUCUCUGACAUUUUCUUACCCUUAUCCAAUGUAUUGUAGGCCACAAAUGCGGGUCAGUGAUCUCUUAUCUUCUCUUAUCGGCCGGUGAAUUCUGGAAUCUUCCCGUUGUCGACAAACUUUGUGUUCAACUCUUUCUUCCACCUCCUGUAUGGAUCUGCCAUCUUCUUCGGAUCCUCCUCUAGCGGUAGGGUGAAAUUUUCCUUCAGCGAUGUCCAAAGAUCAUCUUUCUGUCUAUCAUUGACAUAAGAAACUUCAGGGUCGUCCUUAACCAUCGUAAUCCAUUGCUGGAUGCUGAUCGGGAUGAUGUCCCUAACAAUACCUCUGCACUGAGCAACAAAUGUGUCCUUGGUCUGCUUGGGUUCAAUCGGUUGGCCAUCGUCCGUGGUUUCUGUGAUCGUGAACCUUUCAUCCUGGCACAACCUUUUCUUCGGGCCUUGUCUCGUUACGGAAGUUUGGCUCGAUCCGGAGGGCUAUAAAAGAAGAAAGAAGAGUUAAUAUAUGUGCAUACCAAAACAAUUAAUGCAUCAAUUAGUCAGCAUAGGCUUCAUUAAUAUAUAUGCCUCGCCGGACUUUGCAACAGCUCCCUCCUCCGUUCGGUCACCGGAGCCGUCAUCAUCGUCUCCUUCUUCCUCCGCCAUUCGGUCACCGGAGCCGUCAUGAUCAUGUCCUUCCUCCUCAAUUGUUCGAUCACCGGAGCUGUCAUCCUCUCCUUCCUGACCAUCGGUGUUGUUGAGAAAUGACAAGACAUCACGUUUGUCGUGGAUUAUAUCCCCCAAUAACUCUUCUUGUUCUAAGUCUCUUUGAUCCAUAGUUUCUGCAAAUAUUACAACAUGGCAAUAUACAAACAUGAGAGAUGGAUAUAUUAGUGGCAAACAUAUACCUAGCUAAUAUCACAACAAGGGAUCAUAUUACUAGCCUCGACGCUUCUACGGUUUGGGGUGGCCUCGACAACACUUCUAGGGUUUGGGGUACGGUGGCCUCGACAACGCUUCUAGAGUUUGGGGUGGCCUCGAUAACACUCUUUUUAACUUGGUAAAUUUGGGUGGCCUCGACGCUUUCUAGGGUUUGGGAUGGCCUCAAAAACGCUUCUAGGGUUUGGGGUGCCCUCGACAACACUUCUAGGGUUUGGGUGGCCUCCACAAUGCUUUCUUAGUCCCGGUUUGGCGAGAGGGGGUUGAUCGAUCGAUGUCCCCCUCAUGUUGAAGAGUUAUCGGAGUUCUCUAUGAACAAGAAAAAAAUACUACCUAUCACAUCUCACUCGCUGUUUGGGUGGACUCAAGAGUUUGGUCGGGCGAGAGGGGGUUGAUCGAGGUCCCCCCUCAUGUCGAAGUUAUCGGGGAUACUUUCGAGAGAAAAUACAACACUUGAUAUAUUUCGAAUAUAUGACCAUUUUAACUUAGUAACGUAUUAACGUUUCAAGAGAAAACUUUCUAUUAACAUCAUUUUAACUUAGUAACUUAGUAACGUUUCGAGAGAAAACUUAGUAACUUCGUAACAUUUUAACUUGGUAAUGUUUCGAGAGAAAGCUUUCUAUUAACAUCUCUCUCUCCCUCCUCAUGCAUGUCCGACGUCCCCCCCCCCCUCAUGUCAAAGUUAUCGGGGAGGGGGGCAGAUCGACAAUGACAUCUAGAUCCAUACAUACAUACAUGGACAUAAUGUUCAUCCAUUCAUCCAUCCAUAUUCAAAAUGUUCAUCCAUCCAUCCAAAUUCAAAAUGUUCAUAUUCUACAAUAUCACCAAAAACAUCUAUGAACAUAAAAAAUUCUAACUUUUGCAUAUUCUUUGCAUAUGAACAUACAUACAUUUUCUUUUUCUUAAAUGUAACUUUUGCAUAUAUGAACAUACAUACACAAAAAUUUCUAAAAAUGCACAUAUGAACAUAUACAGAGAACAUNNNNNNNNNNNNNNNNNNNNNNNNNNNNNNNNNNNNNNNNNNNNNNNNNNNNNNNNNNNNNNNNNNNNNNNNNNNNNNNNNNNNNNNNNNNNNNNNNNNNNNNNNNNNNNNNNNNNNNNNNNNNNNNNNNNNNNNNNNNNNNNNNNNNNNNNNNNNNNNNNNNNNNNNNNNNNNNNNNNNNNNNNNNNNNNNNNNNNNNNNNNNNNNNNNNNNNNNNNNNNNNNNNNNNNNNNNNNNNNNNNNNNNNNNNNNNNNNNNNNNNNNNNNNNNNNNNNNNNNNNNNNNNNNNNNNNNNNNNNNNNNNNNNNNNNNNNNNNNNNNNNNNNNNNNNNNNNNNNNNNNNNNNNNNNNNNNNNNNNNNNNNNNNNNNNNNNNNNNNNNNNNNNNNNNNNNNNNNNNNNNNNNNNNNNNNNNNNNNNNNGGAGGAAAAGGGGGCCGGCCGGACCGUAGCGCAGGGCGGCGCAGACCGUCAGCGAGGGCUCGGGGCAGGGGCACGGUGACGGUGUCGGGGGCAGGGGCACAGCGAUGGCGUCGGGCGUGUCGGCGAGGGCUCGGGGCAGGGGCGCGGCGACGGCGUCGGGGCGUCGGGGGUGGCAACGGUGACGCCAAUGAUGGGACAGGGCAAUGACGGUGUCGGGGGCAUUAGGGGCAGCGACGGCGAUGGCGGGGGCGGCGGGUGGCGUUAGGGCAGCCUGGCAGCAUCGAUGUCGUUAGCGUCAUUGGGGGCUGAAAUGCGAGAUGAGAACUGAAAAUUUUUUAUGUGCUAUCUUAUAUACCCAGAGCAUUGGUCCCGGUUCGGGGCACCAACCGGGACCAAUGCCCCCCUUUGGUCCUGGUUCCUGCCACCAACCGGGACCAAAGGUCUCUUUUCAGUAGCCCAAAGGACAGGAAGCGCAGACCUUUGGUUCCGGUUGGUGGCACGAACCGGGACCAAAGGGGGGCAUUGGUCCCGGUUGGUGGCACGAACCGGGACCAAAGGAGGGCAUUGGUCCCAGUUGGUGCCAUGAACCGGGACCAAAGGUUGGUGCUGCCCGGGGCCAAAUGUUUAGUCCCACCUCGCUAGUUGAGAGAGCUCAAGAGUGGUUUAUAAGCGCUGUUGCGCCCACCCUCUCGAGCUCCUCUCAACUGAAGGCUUGCGAGCCUAAUCUGAACUCUUCUGCCUGUGGGCCUGCUGCGGGCCUGAAUCCUGGCCCAACAAGCUGGUUGGGUUUUCUAGUCGUAUUCAGGCCAUGGUGGCCCAGUAGGUGGCAUUUUAAAAAAAACAGACUUUUUUUUGUUUUUUGCUUUAUUUAUUUUGUCUUGUUUCUACUUACUGUUUUCAGUGAUUCUUUUUGCUUUUAGGUCACAAAAUUAUAAACUUUAUGUUAGUGCCAUUAGUUUUCAAAUUUGAAUAGUUUAAAUUUGAAUUCUUUGAAAUUUGUGUGAAUCACUAGUUUCUGAAUAACUUUACUAUAAAAAUAGAUUUUUUUAGUGAUUCUUUUUCUUGCUAUUUAAUAUUACUGUGUUUUAUCAUUAUAUUCAGUUUGGUAGUUUUUAGGUUAUUUUAAAUGUCUAUUUUAAUCAAAAACAGAUUUUUUUUAUUUUAGUUUGCUAUUAAAGUUUCUAACAAAAAAUUCUUUAUGAAAAUUCUUUUUGCUAUUAAUGUUUUAAACAAAAAAUACAUUGAUAAUUUUAGUUUCAUAAAUUUUAUAUAAUUUUAGUUCCAAAAAUACUAGAGGUUUAUAAAAUCUUUUUAGUUUAUUCCUUUUGCUAUUAGAGUUCUAUAAAAGCUUUUUAGUUGAUUCUUUUUGCUAUUGAAGAAAAAUAUAGUUUUGUUUUAGUUGAUCAUAACAUAAUAUUUUAAUUGAUUAUUUUUAAUUCAUUCUUUUUGCAAUUAGAGUUUCAUAAAAGUUUUCUAGUUCAUUCUUUUUGCUAUUAGUUCAUGCUUUGAGCUAAAUGACCCUGAAAUUGAAAAGCACUACAAAUGAACUCUGAAAAGGUUGAAAGUUGGCAUGGUAUCAUCAUUUCACCUACAUAGUAUGUUCUAAAAAGUUGAGCGGGUUACGGCAAAAACUAGAUGCACUUCGUGUACAAAACGGACAAUCUCUUUCGAAGUAUCAGGGUUUCGGAUGAAAACUCAUAUGUUACAAAGGGAUUUCAUUUAUUUGAACUUAUUUGAACUCCAGACUUAUUGUGUGUUCAAAAUGCACCAUUCAAAGCCAUGUCAUCAAUUUUCAACCCUUUCUGACUUCAUUUGGUAUUUUUCAGGGAUUUAGUGACUUUUUGAGCUAAAUGAUCCUGAAAUCGAAAAACACUUCAAAUGAACUCUGAAAAGGUUGAAAGUUGGCAUGGUAUCAUUAUUUCACCCACAUAGAAUGUUAUAAAUAGUUGAGAGGGUUACGGCAAAAACUGGAUGCACUUCGUGUACAAAACGGACAAUCUCUUCCGAAGUAUCAGGGCUUCGAACGAAAACUCAUCUAUUACAAAGAGAUUUCAUUUUUUGUACUUCUUUGAACUCCAGAAUUUCUGUGCAUUCAAAAUGCACCAUUCAAAGCCACAUCAUCAAUUUUCAACCCUUUCUGACUUCAUUUGGUAUUUUUCAUGCAUAUACUGAUUCCUUUAGCUAAAUGACCCUCAAAUUGAAAAGCGCUACAAAGGAAAUGUGAAAUGGUUGAAAGUUGGCAUGGUAUCAUCAUUUCACCCACAUAGAAUGUUCUAAAAAGUUGAGAGGGUCACGGCAAAAACUGGAUGCACUUCGUGCACAAAACGGACAAUCUCUUUCGAAGUAUGAGGGUUUCGGACAAAAACUCAUCUGUUACAAAGGGGUUUCAUUUUUUUGUACUUAUUUGAACUCUAGACUUUUUGUGUGUUCAAAUGCACCAUUCAAAGGCACAUCAUAAAUUUUCAACCCUUUCUGACUUCAUUUGGUAUUUUUCAUGCAUUUACUGAUUUUCUUUAAGUUAAAUGACCCUGAAAUUGAAAAGCACUACAAAUGAACUCUGAAAAGGUUGAAAGUUGGCAUGGUAUCAUCAUUUCACCCACAUAUCAUGUUCUAAAAAGUUGAGAGAGUUACGGCAAAAAUUGGAUGCACUUCAUGUACAAAACGAACAAUCUCUUUCGAAGUAUCAGUGUUUCGGAUGAAAACUCAUAUGUUACAAAGGGAUUUCAUUUCUUUGUACUUAUUUGAACCCCUGACUUUUUGUGUGUUCAAAAUGCACCAUUCAAAGCCACAUCAUCAACUUUCACCCCUUUCUGACUUCAUUUGGUAUUUUUCAUGCAUUUACUGAUUUUUUAAAGCUAAAUGACCCUGAAAUUGAAAGGCACUACAAAUGAACUCUGAAAAGGUUGAAAGUUGGCAGGGUAUCAUCAUUUCACCCACAUAGCAUGUUCUAAAAAGUUGAGAGGGUUACGGCAAAAACUAGAUGCACUUCAUGUACAAAAUGGACAAUCUCUUUCGAAGUAUCAGGGUUACGGAUGAAAACUCAUCUGUUACAAUGGGAUUUCAUUUCUUGACAUGUAACUGAAGUGAUAUUCUAGAUCAAAGGCAUCAUCAUAAUAGUUGUGGAGAGAAAGUCUUCACUUUUUCUUUGCUUGUGUCCUUUGCUUAUUGCACUGUAACCACAGAUAAUCUUCAUCGUUUAACAGGGUGCUUGGGUCAGCCUUGACUUUGAAGGGAGGAAUUUCAUGAAACUUAUCAUAAUCUUCAGACAUGUCUGUCUUGCCCUCCACUCCCACGAUGUCUCUUUUUCCUGAAAGAACUAUGUGGCACUUUGGCUCGUCGUAUGAUGUAUUCGCUUCGUUAUCUUUUCUUUUUCUCGGUUUGGUAGACAUGUCCUUCACAUAGAAAACAUGCGCCACAUCAUUGGCUAGGACGAAUGGUUCAUCUGUGUACCCAAGAUUGUUCAGAUCCACUAUUGUCAUUUUGUACUGUGGGUCUACCUGCACCCCGCCUCCUGACAGAUUGACCCAUUUGCACUGAAACAAAGGGACCUUAAAAUCAUGUCCAUAGUCAAGUUCCCAUAUGUCCACUAUGUAACCAUAAUAUGUGUCCUUUCCCCUCUUGGUUGCUGCAUCAAAGCGGACACCACUAUUUUGAUUAGUGCUCUUUUGAUCUUGGGCGAUCGUGUAAAAUGUAUUCCCAUUUAUGCCGUACCCUUUGUAAGUCAAUACAGUCGAAGAUGGUCCCCUGGCCAACGAGUGCAGCUCAUCAGAAAUAGCGUUGUCACCCAUAAGACGUGUUUGCAACCAACUGCCAAAAGUCCUGAUGUGUUCACAUGUAAUCCAGUUGUCACACUGCUCCGGGUGUUUGGAGCGCAGAAUAUUCUUGUGUUCAUUGACAUACGGGGUCACCAAGGUAGAAUUCUAUAGAACUGUGUAGUGUGCUUAAGACCAAGAAUGCCCGUCCCUACAUAUUAUUGAGUCUGGUCCUAGCGUGCCUUUUCCAGUCAGUCUCCCCUCAUACCACGAUUGAGGGAGACCAAUCUUUUUAAGGUCAGGAAUGAAGUCAACACAAAACCCAAUGACCUCCUCUAUUUGAUGGCCCGUGGAGAUGCUUCCUUCUGGCCUGGCAUGGUUACGAACAUAUUUCUUUGAGACUCCCAUGAACCUCUCAAAGGGGAACAUAUUGUGUAGAAAUACAAGGCCUAGAAUGGCAGUCUCGUUGACUAGAUGAACUAGGAUGUGCGUCAUGAUAUUGAAGAAGGAUGGUGGGAACACUAGCUUGAAACUGACAAGACAUUGCACCAGAUCACUCAUUAACCUUGGUAGGAUUUCUGGAUCGAUCACCUUCUGAGAGAUUGCAUUAAGGAAUGCACAUAGCUUCACAAUGGCUAAUCAAACAUUUUCCGGUAGAAGCCCCCUCAACCGGAAGUAGUUGCGUCAUAAUCAUGUCGAAGUCAUGAGACUUUAGGUUCUGAAACUUUUUCUCUGCCAUAUUUAUUAUUCCCUUUAUAUUCGACGAGAAGCCAUAUGGGGCCUUCUGUCACAUCCCUAGUUCUGGCCUGACCUAUGCUAGCUUCCAUGUGAGCAUCAUGUUUAAAUUCAAAUGAAACUUGAAUUGAGGAAUUUUCAAAAGCCUCAGAAAACCUCUAAAAAUAACCAACAUUUAAAUCUCAUCAAAUGAGUCCAAGAAAAUGUUCAUGUUAUUCUGUAAAAAUAUUGGCAUGAGGUAAAAUUCAAACCAAUAUUUUUGGAAUCACAGAAAUAUUUAUUUUGGGCCUUUGACUUAAACCAAGACAUAUUUGAGUUGAAUUUAUUUCUCCUUCAUACUGAACGGGCAUUCAAAGAAGAUUCCUUCCCUUCUUUGGUAAGAGCGUAGCUGGCAGGACCUUCAUACUGCUUUGGAGGCUUGUCCUCUUUUUCGUGCACACGUUGCUGGUCCUCUCGUGCCUCUAGUGUAUCUUUUUUCUUCCCAUACAAGCCCAAGGAGCCUAGCAGGUUCACACAAAGAUUCUUCGUCAUGUGCAUCAUGUCGAUUGCAGAGCAGACCUCUAGGUCUUUCCAGUAGGGUAGGCCCCAAAAUAUAGAUUUCUUCUUCCACAUGGGUGCGCGUCCCUCUGCGUCAUUCGGAACAGAUAGUCCAUCGGGACCCUUUCCAAAGAUUACAUGUAAAUCAUUGACCAUAGCAAGUAUGUGAUCACUAGUACGGACGACGCUCUUCUUCCGAUGAUCUGCCUCACCUUUGAAAUGCUUGCCUUUCUUUCGACAUUGAUGGUUGGUCGGAAGAAAUCGUCGAUGCCCCAGGUACACAUUCUUCCUACAUUUGUCCGAAUAUAUACUUUCGGUGUCAUCUAAACAGUGCGUGCAUGCGUGCUAUCCCUUGUUUGUCUAUCCUGAAAGGUUACUGAGAGCAGACCAAUCAUUGAUGGUUACAAACAACAAUGCAUGUAGGUCAAAUUCCUGCUGGUCUUGCUCAUCCCACACACGUGCACCUUUUCCAUUCCAAGGCUAUAAAAGUUCUUCAACUAAUGACCUUAGGUACACAUCAAUGUCAUUGACGGGUUGCUUAGGGCCUUGGAUGAGAACUGGCAUCAUAAUGAACUUCUGCUUCAUGCAUAGCCAAGGAGGAAGGUUAUAGAUACAUAGAGUCACGACUAGGUGCUAUGAUUGCUGCUCUGCUCCCCAAAAGGAUUAAUGCCAUACGCGCUUAAACCAAACCAUACAUUCNNNNNNNNNNNNNNNNNNNNNNNNNNNNNNNNNNNNNNNNNNNNNNNNNNNNNNNNNNNNNNNNNNNNNNNNNNNNNNNNNNNNNNNNNNNNNNNNNNNNNNNNNNNNNNNNNNNNNNNNNNNNNNNNNNNNNNNNNNNNNNNNNNNNNNNNNNNNNNNNNNNNNNNNNNNNNNNNNNNNNNNNNNNNNNNNNNNNNNNNNNNNNNNNNNNNNNNNNNNNNNNNNNNNNNNNNNNNNNNNNNNNNNNNNNNNNNNNNNNNNNNNNNNNNNNNNNNNNNNNNNNNNNNNNNNNNNNNNNNNNNNNNNNNNNNNUCUCUCGAUUUUUCUCCACUGCGACCCGUCAGGGGGUGCUCUCAGCUUCCCGUCUUUCUUACGGUCCUCUUUGUGCCAUCGCAUCAACUUGGCAUGCUCUUUGUUUUUGAACAGACGUUUCAACCAUGGUAUUAUAGGAGCAUACCACAUCACCCUGGCAGGAACCCUCUUCCUGGGGCGCUUGCCAUCAACAUCACUAGGGUCAUCUUGUCUGAUCUUGUACCGCAAUGCAUCGCAUAUCGGACAUGCGUUCAAAUCCUCGUACACACCAUGGUAGAGGAUGAAGUCAUUAGGGCAUGCAUGUAUCUUCUGCACCUCCAAUCCUAGAGGGCAUAGAACCUUCUUUGCUCCGUACGUAUUGUCGGGAAAUUCGUUAUCCUUUGGAAGCUUAUUCUUCAAUAUUUUCAGUAGCUUCUCAAAUCCGUUGUCAGAUACACCAUUGUCUGCCUUCCAUUGCAGCAAUUCUAGUGUGGUACCGAGCUUUGUGUUGCCAUCUUGGCAAUUGGGGUACAACCCUUUUUUGUGAUCCUCUAUCAUGCGAUCGAACUUCAACUUCUCCUUUUCACUUUCGCAUUGUCUCUUUGCAUCAACAAUGACCCAGCGAAGAUCAUCAUCGGGCACAUCAUAUGGUUCCUCUUGAUCUUCAGCUUCCCCCAUUGCAGCAUCACCGUAUUCAAGGGACACUUAGUUCUCAUCAUCCUCUUCUUCUUCGUUGUCUUCCAUCAUAACUCCUCUUUCUCCGUGAUUGGUCCAAACAUUAUAGUGUGGCAUGAAACCCUUCUCAAGAAGGUGGAUGUGAAGGGUUUUUGCGUCAGAGUAAGACUUCGUAUUCCCAUAGAUAGGGAAUGGACAAUGCAUAAAACCAUUCUUCCUGUUUGCCUCAGCCACUUCGAGAAGAUAAUGCAUGCCCAUAAUGUACUUGGAGGUGCGUCUGUCACCGUACAUCCAUUGCCAGUUCAUCUGCGUGCAUUAUAUAUAACUAAAUGUAGCAAAAACCAUUACAGAACAUCAUGAAUAGAGAAGUGACCAAAUUAAUAGAAGUUCAUCAUCACAUUAAAACCAAAGUACAGUAGUAAUCAAAUGUUAUUACUGGAAAAAAAAUACAUAAAGUUCAUACAUAGUUCUCACUGAACAACAUAUAGCUCUCUAGAGCAUCUAAUUAAACCAUACAUUGAAACUAUAUAAAAAACAUUUCAAUGCAACAACAUAUGCGAUCAUAAUCGCAACUAAGGUAACAAUUGGUCCAACGGCAUAAUGAUACCAAGCCUUAGUAUGAAUGGCAUAUAUUUUUUAAUCUUUCUAAUCUUCAAGCGCAUUUUAUCCAUCUUGAUCUUGUGAUCAUCAAUGAUAUCCGCAACAUGCAACUCCAAUGCCAUCGUCUCCUCCUCAAUUCUUUUCAAUUCUUUCUUCAAGUAAUUAUUUUCUUUUUCAACUAAAUUUAACCUCUUGGCAAGAGGGUUGGUUGGAAUUUCUAGUUCACAUACCUCCUAGAUAAAACAUCUAUGGCACGUUGGUUGGCAUAAUUGUAAUAAACACUAAAUUAAACAAAUAGUUAUAAAAGAUAGUAUAUACCGCAUCCAAAUCAUAGACAGGACGAGGGCCGACGCGGGCAGAUACCAAAACUAUCGCACUAUAUAAUAACAAACAAUAGUAAAAGUAAGAAAAAUAUACAAGUAUCAAUCUAAAUCAUACAAGUAAGAAUUUUUUUUCUUUUAGACAAGAGAUAAGAACAAGAGGCUCACCAAGGUGGUGCCAACGACGAGAUCAGCGCGGGCCAUCGACGGUGGUGAGGACGGGGACGGGACAGGACGGACCGCCAAACCUAGACAAAUCUUGAGGAAAAUGGAGUUUGGACAAGGAGCUUCAAGAGGAGAAAGCUUAAGUGUGGCUCGGGCAUUUCAUCGAACACCUCUGAGGAAUAUCACCUGUAGGAGGAACUGAGGGGGAUAGGUUAACCUUAUACAUAGCAUUCAUCAAUGCUUCAGCCCAAAAAGAAUUAGGUAAAUGAGUAUGAGAGAGCAUAGCUAUGACCCUCAUUGUGAGUGUCCUGUUCAUUCUCUCUGCAAGACCAUUGAGCUGAGGUGUCUUUGGUGGACUCUUCUCAAGCCUGAUGCCAAACUUUCUGCAAUACCUUUCAAAAGUACCCCGGUAUUCACCACCAUUGUACGAUCUCACGCACUUCAAUUUCCUGCCAGUUUCUCUCUCAACCUUGGCAUGGAACUCCUUGAAGGCUUCAAACGUCUGGUAUUUGUGUUUCGGAACAUACACAAAAACCUUUCUGGAAUGGUCAUCAAUAAAAGUCACAAAGUAUAAUGUUCCACCAGGAGAUUUUUCAGGCAUGGAGCAAACAUCAGUUUUCACAAUAUCAAGAACAUUUUCUGCACGAUGUGGAGGGAGUUUACGAAAGGAAACCCUAUGUUGUUUGCCAGCAAACCGACAUGCACAGGAUUUCAAGGAUAUACAUUUCAACUCAGGGAGGUAAUCCAUGCGAGCAAGAGCAUGCAUGCCCUUCUCACUCAUAUGCCCAGGCCUCUUGUGCCAUAAUUCAACCGAAGUGUCUUUUUCAGCAAUGUUCAACACCUCAUUGCACAACUUGGUUUAAGUCACCUAGAGAUUACCUUGCCUACUUCCUUGAACCACAAUCAAAGAGCCUUUGGUGAGCUUCCACUUUUCUUCACCAAAAUAACUAGGAUGUUUGAUAUUGAUACGUCUCUGUCGUAUCUAUAAUUUUUUUAUUUUUCCAUGCCAAUAUUCUACAACUUUUACAUAUGGCAACAUUUUAUACUAUUUUUUGGGACUAACAUAUUAAUCCAGUGCCCAGUGCCAGUUCCUGUUUAUUGCAUGUUUUUUGUUUCACAUAAAAUCCAUAUCAAACAGAGUCCAAACGCAAUUAAAACUCACGGAGAUUUUAUUGGAAUAUAUGUGAUUUUUGGAAAAAGAAUCAACAUGAGAUGAUGCCCGAGGGGGCCACAAGGCAGGGGGCGCGCCCCAAUGGGUAGGGCGUGUGAUAACCCACAAGUAUAGGGGAUCGAAGUAGUUUUCGAGGGUAGAGUAUUCAACCCAAAUUUAUUGAUUCGACACAAAGGGAGCCAAAAAAUAUUCUCAAGUAUUAGCAAUUGAGUUGUCAAUUCAACCACACCUGGAAAACUUAAUAUCUGCAGCAAAGUAUUUAGUAGCAAAGUAAUAUGGAAGUAACGGUAAUAGUGGCAAAAGUAACACUAGCAGUUUUCUAGUAAUUGUAACAGUGGCAACGGUAAAGUAACUAAGAAAAGAUCAAUAUGUGAAAAGCUCGUAGGCAUUGGAUCUAUGAUGGAUAAUUAUGUCGGAUGCGAUUCCUCAUGCAAUAGUUAUAACAUAGGGUGACAUAGAACUAGCUCCAGUUCAUCAAUGUAAUGUAGGCAUGUAUUUCGAAUAUAGUCAUACGUGCUUAUGGAAAAGAACUUGCAUGACAUCUUUUGUCCUACCCUCCCAUGGCAAUGGGGUCCUAUUGGAAACUAAGGGAUACUAAGGCCUCCUUUUAAUAGAGUACCAGACCAAUGCAUUAACACUUAGUGAAUACAUGAAGUCCUCAAACUACGGUCAUCCCUGGGAGUGGUCCCGAUUAUUGUCAUUUUGGGGUUGCCAGAUCGUAACACAUAGUAGGUGACUAUUGACUUGCAAGAUAGGAUCAAGAACUCAUAUAUAUUCAUGAAAACAUAAUAGGUUCAGAUCUGAAAUCAUGGCACUCGGGCCCUAGUGACAAACAUUAAGCAUAGCAAAGUCAUAGCAACAUCAAUCUCAGAACAUAAUGGAUACUAGGGAUCAAACCCUAACAAAACUAACUCGAUUACAUGGUAAAUCUCAUCCAACACAUCACCGUCCAGCAAGCCUAAGAUGGAAUUACUGACACAUGGCGGUGAGCAUCAUGAAAUUGGUGAUGGAGGAUGGUUGACGAUGACGACGGCGAUGGAUUCCCCUCCCCGGAGCCCCGAACGGACUCCAGAUCAGCCCUCCCGAGAGUGAUUAGGGCUUGGCGGCGGCUCCAUGUCGUAAAGCACGAUGAAUCCUUCUCUCUGAUUUUUCUCCCCGAACAUGAAUAUAUGGAGUUGAAGUUGAGGUCGGUGGAGCUUCAGGGGGCCCAUAAGACAGGGGGGCGCCCCCCCCCCCCCACCCUCAUGGACAGGGUGUGGGCCCCCUGGUCUUGAUUCAUUUCUCUAGUAUUUUUUGUUAAUUCCAAAAAUAUUCUCCGUGAAGUUUCAGGUCAUUCCAAGAACUUUUAUUUUUCUGCACAAAAAUAACACCAUGGCAAUUCUGCUGAAAACAGCGUUAGUCCGGAUUAGUUCCAUUCAAAUCAUGCAAGUUAGAGUCCAAAACAAUGGCAAAAGUAUUUGGAAAAGUAGAUACGAUGGAGACGUAUCAACUCCCCCAAGCUUACACCUUUGCUUGUCCUCAAGCAAUUCAGUUGACAAACUAAAAGUGAUAAAGGAAAACUUUUACAAACUCUGUUUGCUCUUUUUGUUGCAAAUAUGUAAAGCCAACAUUCAAGUUUUCAGCAAAGAUUAUGAACUAACCAUAUUCACAAUAACACUUAGGUCUCAUGUUUACUCAUAUCAAUGGCAUAAUCAACUAGCGAGCAAUAAUAAUAAAUCUCGGAUGACAACACUUUCUCAAAACAAUCAUAAUAUGAUAUAACAAGAUGGUAUCUCGCUAGCCCUUUCUGAGACCGCAAAACAUAAAUGCAGAGUACCUCUGAAGAUCAAGGACUGACUAGACAUUGUAAUUCAUGGUAAAAGAGAUCCAGUCAUAGUCAUACUCAAUAAAAAUUAAUAGUAAUGGAUGCAAAUGAUAGCGGUGCUCUCCAACUGGUGCUUUUUAAUAAGAGGAUGAUGACUCAACAUAAAAGUAAAUAGAUAGGCUGUUCACAGAGGGAAGCAGGGAUUUGUAGAGGUGCUAGAGCUCGAGUUUUGAAACAGAGAGUAUUUUGGUUGGCAUACUUUCAUUGUCAACAUAACAACCAAGAGAUCUCGAUAUCUUCCAUGCUACACACAUUAUAGGCGGUUCCCAAACAGAAUGGUAAAGUUUAUACUCCCCCGCCACCAACAAGCAUCAAUCCAUGGCUUGCCCGAAACAACGGGUGCCUCCAACUAACAACAAUCUUGGGGGAGUUUUGUUUGCAAUUAUUUUGAUUUGAGCAUGGGACUGGGCAUCUCGGUUACCGGCCAUUUUCUCGUGAAUGAGGAGUGGAGUCCACUCCUCAUGAGAAUAACCCACCUAGCAUGGAAGAUAUAGACAUCCCUAGUUGAUACAUGAGCUGUUCGAGCAUAAAAAGCAGAAUUUCAUUUGAAGGUUUAGAGUUUGGCACAUACAAAUUUACUUGGAACGGCAGGUAAAUACUGCAUAUAGGAAGGUAUGGUGGACUCAUAUGGAAUAACUUUGGGGUUUAUGGAAGUGGAUGCACAAGCAGUAUUCCCGCUUAGUACAAGUGAAGGCUAGAAAAAGACUGGGAAGCGACCAACUAGAGAGCGACAACAGUCAUGUACAUGCAUUCAAAUUAAUCAACACUGAGUGCAAGCAUGAGUAGGAUAUAAAUCACCAUGAACAUAAAUAUCCUGGAGGCUAUGUUGAUUUUGUUUCAACUACAUGCGUGAACAUGUGCCGAGUCAAGCCCCUCGAAUCAUUCAAAGGAGGAUACCACCCUAUCAUACCACAUCACAACCAUUUUAAUAGCAUGUUGGCAUGCAAGAUAAACCAUUAUAAACUCCUAGCUAAUUAAGCAUGGCAUGAGCAACUAUAAUCUCUAAUUGUCAUUGCAAACAUGUUUCGUUCAUAAUAGGCUGAAUCAAGAACGAUGAACUAAUCAUAUUUACAAAAACAAGAUAGGUCGAGUUCAUACCAGCUUCUCUCAUCUCAAUCAGUCCAUCAUAUAUCAUCAUUAUUGCCUUUCACUUGCAAGACCGAGCGAUGUGGAUAAUAAUAAUAGUGCACAUGCAUUGGACUAAGCUAGAAUUCCCUGUAGCUUAGGCUUUUGGCCUAAAUUGGUCUAAUCCCACGGAUCAAAGCUGCCUUCUCUGGUGUGCGGUGGAGUGUCAUCUGGGUGCCACUGGUUGGCGAUCUCCUCCGGAUCCAACUGAUAAAUGGACUGUCGAUAAGGGUCAAGUGGUGGUUCCGGCUCAGGCUCCAGUAUGCAUAAACGGCCUCCGGCAAGAUGAGGUACGUGCCUGAAAAUAUGUUAAACAAAGUGGGCGCAGGCAAGGUAAUAAUCUCACAAUAAUUUUUAUCAAAUAUCAAAUUAUACUUAAGCAAUUCCUUCUUAUUUUCAACAAUAAAAUCAUGUGCUACCAUACUCUUAUAAUCUAGAAAAACAGAGGGCAACAACUUUUCUUCUUUCUCAUAAUGCCUAAUAGGUAUAUUGAAGUGUGCAGCAAGGCACGAAGCAAAGAUACCACCGAAGAUGGGGCCCUUCGUACGGUUCAGACUUAAUCGCUUAGCAAUAACAGCACCUAAACUGAAAGUUGUAUCACGAAACAAAGCAUGGUGCAAAAUAACAAUACCAGGGGCACUAAGAUUUCCAUUGUUCCCAUGACCAAUUAAACAUCUACUAGCAAAUAUUGCGAAGUAACGUAGAACAGGAAAAUGUAUGCUAGUAAUUCCUGCACCUGAAACUUUUCUUGUUUCCCCUACAGCAAUUUCAUUAAUAAAUCCCUCCACAUCAUUACGGUGUGGUUCCUCUAUGUUGCCCACAAAGGGUAUCUUGCAAACCCCACAAAAGUCAUAAAGUGACAUCUCCUUAUACUCAUCAUAUAGAUAAAAAUCUACCGAAGGUGGUGAUCUCCUAGCAUGGAAAUGAAAAUUUUGCACAAAAAUAUUAGUGAGUAGGAGAUACUGAUCGAGUUGGUCGUGGAGCAAGUCGGUGAGGCCUGCAUUCUCAGCCAAAUAAUAAAAAUUAUCAUGAAUCCUGGCUGCUCUCAAGAACUCAUCACAAGGCCAUUCACACGGCUGAACCUCCGUGGUGCGAGGGAGAUUAUAUUUGGGCUUUUUAUCCUCUUCACUUUGCUUAUCCUUCGAGCUUCGGCUCGAAGAGCCCCUCAAUAAUCUCUUCAUCAUUUUCUAAAAAUUUCUGAAAUUUUUAGUAACUCAAAAUAAAAGUGAACCAAACUCAACAAAAUUUAUAGCAACUACUCCCACAAGUGCCUAGAGACUAUAUCAUGCAUUAGAACUACUUGGGACCAAUUAAAUUUGUCAUGCAAGCUGAAGAACAGGGUCACAUCAGCAGCAAAAAUUUGCAAUGAAUAAAGCACUAGAACAAAAACAAAUUGGACCAUUGGAGGAGUCACAUGCCGAAGAACAAUCCCCCAAAACAGUUUCGUGAAUGAAGCUUUGAGCAAGGAGAUCGAAAAUCGCAGCAAAACGAGCUAGAACACGAGUUUGAGCUUUGUGGUGAUUUUUCUGGAGGAAGACGAAGUGUGUGGGUGCAGGAAUAAGUGGAGGGGGCCACGUGGGGCCCACGAGGCAGGGGGCGCCCUGGACCCUCGUGGCCAGGUGUUGGAUCCUUCUGGUGUGUUCUCAGUGCUAAUAAUUCUUAAAUAUUCUAGAAAAAAUCAUAUUUCAUUUUCGGGACAUUUGGAGAACUUUUAUUUUUGGGGUAUUUUUUUAUUGCAAGGAUAAUUCAGAAAACAGACAGAAAAUACUAUUUUUGCUUUAUUUAAUCUAAAUAACAAAAAGUAAAAGGAGGGUACAGAAGGUUGUGCUUUCUAACUUCAUCCAUCUCAUGCUCAUCAAAAGGAAUCCACUAACAAGGUUGAUCAAGUCUUGUUAACAAACUCUUCUCGAAUAACAUGGAACCGGAGAAAUUUCGAAUAACACUAGGUUACCUCAAUGGGGAUAUGCACGUCCCCAAAAAUAAGAAUAUCAUAUUUCUUCUUGACAUUAGGAAGAGGGAAUUCAAAACCUCCAAUAGUAAUCAUUGAAAUUUUUCCAAUAUAAUUGAUACUGUGGACUUGAGGUUGUUUCCUCGGAAAGUGUACCGUAUGCUCAUUACCAUUAACAUGAAAAGUGACAUUGCCUUUGUUGCAAUCAAUAACAGACCCUGCAGUAUUCAAAAAGGGUCUACCAAGGAUAAUCGACAUACUAUCGUCCUCGGGAAUAUCAAGAAUAACAAAGUCCGUUAAAAUAGUAACAUUUGCAACCACAACAGGCACAUCCUCACAAAUACCGACAGGUAUAGCAGUUGAUUUAUCGGCCAUUUGCAAAGAUAUUUCAGUAGGUGUCAACUUAUUCAAAUCAAGUCUACGAUAUAAAGAGAGAGGCAUAACACUAACACCGGCUCCAAGAUCACAUAAAGCAGUUUUAACAUAGUUUGUUUUAAUGGAGCAUGGUAUAGUUGGUACUCCUGGAUCUCCUAGUUUCUUUGGUAUUCCACCCUUAAAAGUAUAAUUAACAAGCAUGGUGGAAAUUUCAGCUUCCAGUAUCUUUCUUUUAUUUGUAACAAUAUCCUUCAUAUACUUAGCAUAAGGAUUCAUUUAAGCAUAUCAGUCAAACGCAUACGCAAAAAGAUAGGUCUAAUCAUUUCAGCAAAGCGCUCAAAAUCAUCAUCAUACUUUUUCUUGGAUGGUUUGGGAGGAAAAGGCAUGGGUUUCUGAACCCAUGUUUCUCUUUCUUUAUCGUGCUUCCUAGCAAUGAAGUCUCUUUUAUCAUAAUGUUGAUUCUUUGAUUGUGGGUUAUCAAGAUCAACAGCAGGUUCAACCUCUACAUCAUUAUUAUUGCUAGGUUGAGCAUCAACAUGAACAUCAUCAUUAACAUCAUCACUAGGUUCAUGUUCAUUACCAGAUUGUGUUUCAGCAUCAGAAAUAGAAAUAUCAUUGGGAUUCUCAGGUGUGUCAACAACAGGUUCACUAGAAGCAUGCAAAGUCCUAUCAUUUUUCUUCUUCUUCUUUUAGAAGGACUAGGUGCAUCGACAUUAUUUCUCUGAGAAUCUUGCUCAAUUCUCUUAGGGUGGCCCUCAAGAUACAAAGGUUCCUGAGUCAUUCUACCACCUCUAGUCACAACUCUAACAGCAUUAUCAUUUUUCUUAUCCUUUAAUUCAUUGAGCAAAUCAUUUUGAGCUUUAAGCACUUGUUCUACUUGAGUUGUAACCAUAGAAGCAUGUUUACUAAUAAGUUUAAGUUCACCUUUAACUCUAGACAUAUAAUCACUCAAGUGUUCAAUCAUAUAAGCAUUGCGUUUCAAUUGUCUACCAACAUAAGCAUUGAAGUUUUCUUGUUUAAAAUAAAAUUAUCAAACUCAUCCAAGCAUUGGCUAGCAGACUUAUAACGAGGAAUAUCACCUUCAUCAAAUCUAUAGAGAGAAUUUACCUUUACUACCUGUGUCGGGUUAUCAAGACAUGUAUUUCUUCAAUAGGCGGUAAAUUCUUAACAUCUUCAGCUUUAAUACCCUUUUCUUUCAUAGAUUUCUUUGCCUCCUGCAUAUCUUCAGGACUGAGAAAUAGAAUACUCCUUUUCUUUGGAGUUGGCUUAGGAAUUGGUUCAGGAAGUGUCUAAUUGUUUUCAUUAGUCAACAUAUUAUUCAAUAACAAUUCAGCUUGAUCAACAGUUCUUUCCCUGAAAACACAACCAGCACCGCUAUCCAAGUGGUCUCUGGAAGCAUCGGUUAAUCCAUUAUAAAAGAUAUCAAGUAUUUCAUUUUCCUUGAGAGGAUGAUCAGGCAAAGCAUUAAGUAAUUGGAGAAGCCUCUCACAAGCUUGUGGGAGACUCUCUUCUUCAAUUUGCACAAAAUUAUAUAUUUCCCUUAAAGCAACUUGUUUCUUAUGAGCGGGGAAAUAUUUAGCAGAGAAGUAAUAAAUCAUAUCCUGGGGACUACGCACACAACCAGGAUCAAGAGAAUUAAACCAAGUUUUAGCAUCACCCAUUAAUGAGACCGAAAAUAAUUUAAGGAUAUAGUAGUAACGAGUUCUCUCAUCAUUAGUGAAUAGGGUGGCUAUAUCAUUUAACUUAGUAAGAUGUGCCACAACAGUUUCAGAUUCAUAGCCAUAAAAAGGAUCAGAUUCAACCAAAGUAAUUAUCUUAGGAUCGACAGAGAAAUCAUAUUCCUUAUCAGUAAUACAGAUAGGUGAAGUAGAAAAAGCAGGGUCAUAUUUCAUUCUAGUAUUCAGAGACUUUUCUUUCAGCUUAGCUAAUAAUUUCUUAAGAUCAGAUCUAUCAUUGCAAGCAAGAAAGUCUCUAGCAGUUUCUUCAUCCAUAACAUAACUGUCGGUGUCAAAACCGGCGGAUCUCGGGUAGGGGGUCCCGAACUGUGCGUCUAGGCGGAUGGUAACAGGAGACAAGGGACACGGUGUUUUUACCCAGGUUCGGGCCCUCUCGAUGGAGGUAAAAUCCUACUCCUGCUUGAUUAAUAUUGAUGAUAUGGGUAGUACAAGAGUAGAUCUACCACGAGAUCAGAGAGGCUAAACCCUAGAAGCUAGCCUAUGGUAUGAUUGUUGUUCGUCCUACGGACUAAAACUCUCCGAUUUAUAUAGACAUCGGAGAGGGCUAAGGUUACACAGAUUCGGUUACAAUGGGAGGAGAUCUACAUAUCGUAUCGCCAAGCUUGCCUUCCACGCCAAGGAAAGUCCCAUAUGGACACGGGACGAAGUCUUCAAUCUUGUAUCUUCAUAGUCCGGGAGUCCGGCCAAAGGUCAUAGAUCGGCCAUCCAGACACCCCCUAAUUCGGGACUCCCUCAGUAGCCCCUGAACCAGGCUUCAAUGACGACGAGUCCGGCGCGCAAAUUGUCUUCGGCAUUGCAAGGCGGGUUCCUCCUCCGAAUACUUCAUAGAAGAUGUUUGAACACAAGGAUAGUGUCCGGCUCUGCAAAAUAAGUUACACAUACCACCGUAGAGAGAAUAAUAUUUACACAAAUAUAAUCUGCUGACGUAUUCUGUAGUGUGACAUCAUGCCACGGCCAAGCCUUUAUUCGAGUCGUUUUACUGUCCCACCUCAGCGCGUUUAGCGAGGCGGUUUCCUUGGCACGUCUUGUCAAAGCAGAGAUCGUGUCCCCUUGUUCUGGGAUUCUCAUCAACACGGGCGUGGGUAACCCAACCGUGCCAUUGGUAUGACUUCUUAAUUGAAAGUGAGUCCCAAACGGUCACGGGGAGGGCUCUUGGUAUUCAACCUCUUUAUAAAGAGACCAAGGCUCGACUCCUUUCUUUCAAUCCAAUCAAAUCCGCCUCUCGCCUUGAGUUCCAACACCCAAAGCUCCAGAUUCAGGCGCUUCGUACCUUCGAUGAUGUCCGGCUCCGACCUUCAAGGCCGGUGGAUGCCUUCCUCCGUUACAGAAGAAUACGUGUUAAGCUAAGAGACGCUAGGUAUCUAGCCGGCGAAAUCUUGCAUAGGCUGCCUGCUCACGGGCAGGUCAUUCCCACUCCCAAGCCCGGUGAGAGCGUGGUGUUCGCGUCUCACUUCCUUCGGGGGCUAGGCUUCCCGAUUGACCCCUUCGUGAGGGGGCUCAUGUUUUACUACGGGCUGGAAUUUCACGACUUAGCUCCGGAGUCCAUCCUCCAAAUCUCAUUGUUCAUUGUCGUGUGUGAGGCCUUCCUCCAUAUUACUCCUCACUUCGGAUUGUGGCUCAAAACCUCCAAAGUAGAGCCGGAGAUGAUCGAGGGGCAGCACGCAGAGUGCGGAGGUGCUGUUAUAAGCAAGAUUGCCGACGCUCCAUGGCACGAGGGCUCUUUUCAAGAGGAGUUCGGCUUAUGGCAACGAGAGUGGUUUUACAUCACAGCUCCCAGGGGCACCACAUGGGUGGCGCCACCUGCUUUUUGCUCAGGUCCCCCACCACGGCUAGCGUCAUGGGUCAAUAAAGGGCUUAACUGGGGGCCGUCCAAGGACGUGCCCUUGUUGCAGGGCCGCAUUCGAGAUCUCCUAGAAAGAGAUAUCAAUCUGGCCGUAGUGAUGCAGGUUAUGUUGAUUCGUCGUGUCCUGCCCUGCAAACGUCGUCCCCUCCGUCUGUGGGAGUUUAAUCCGGAAGGACCACGAGCUCUCCAACAUUUUAUGGGCACGACACCCGUGGAGAUGUACAAAUUGUUCUUUGGAUCACAAGCAAUGUGUACGGACUUGUCCGAGGACGCAGGUCUAAGCUGCAAUCGCCCGGAUACUCAAGUAAGUAGCCCUGUACCCGGACACGCUAUCCGUACAUUUAUCAUAAAAUUGCCCUUAAAAGAGCUAUCUUUUAAACAGGAGUGGAUAGCGAAAGCAAAGCUUAUCAGGUGUCCGGCCCCCCUCCCCGAGACCACGCCGGAUCCCGUGUUGACCAGGAUGCUGGAGAUUGCGCCUUUGGAAGAAGGCGAAGAGGGGAACAAAGAAGCUACCGCCUCCGUGAAGGAGGCUGUCAGGAAAGGAGGAAUCGAGAAUUCCUCUAUCCAGGGAAAGAAGAGGACCACCUCUGAAGACCCGGAGGCGAUGGCCUCAAAGCGGGGGAAGAAAUCUUCGUCAGAGGGUCCGGCGCCGGAGGGUGCCCCGGCCGCAUUUGCCCCCAAGGGGAUCAGCUCUCCACCGAGCCGUAAGUAAAGAGAGGGGUUUUAAAAUGAGAGACAUCCCUGUUUUAUUUCUGAGGAAGAUAACUGAAAUUUUACCUUGUAGUUCGGAUCUCAACCCUUCUCAGCAGAUCUCAUCUUCAGGGGAUCUUCGUCCGGAGAUGAUGGACAGCGGAACGCCUCCCCCAGCUGUACCGUCUUGCGAGGCGGGCGACCCCGAGGUGUCGUCUCGGAGGGUUUCUCUGAAUCCGGCCUUCGAAAAAGGUCUUCGGACGAGUCCGGCACCGUCCGGUGCACGGUCGGAGGAGCUGAAGGAUCUGCUCGGGCGAGCGUGUAUCUCAGAAGAACAACAUGUGUUGAUGAAUACGGUGAUUAGAAGGAUUUCAUCCGCGGAAAGCGGAUUGUACGAGGCCGCCAGGAGUUUACUGAAAGGUUUUGAGGUACGCGAAAUGAUGUACCUUUUGACAGAUCCGCAUAUAUAAAAUGCGCCCUGUAUAGAUAGUAGCCCCUGAGACUCUAUGUGUUGUCAAAAAUGAUGGCGCGCAGAGGAUCAUAAUCCCAGGUAUAAUAUGUCGCCUUUCCUAUGUAGGUGGCGAAGUGUUCGGUGGCUGGACGGACUGAUGAAUUUGCCGAGCUAAAGCGGCAACUUGACGUGGCAGAUGCCGACAUCGCGCUUGUCAAUGAGCGGCUGGACGAGGCACAAGGUAUGUAAUGUCUCCGAAGACAUCUGGUAAGAGGAGCUUGAUGCUUGUACCUUAUAACAUGUGUGCUUAAUGCAGAUGGUGCCGCUGCCAUGGAGAACCUUCAGGCGGAACUUGCCCGAGCCAAGGAGCAAGCCGGGAAAAGCGAUGAGGCUGCCUUAAAGGCGGAGGAAGAGCUAAAAGCCGAACAGGCUGCUCACUGCCAGAGCAAGAAGGAAAUGGCCGAGAUGGCUGUAAAAUUGAAGAAUGCUGCCGACCGCUGCAAGCUCCUUGAAAAAGAAGAUAGGGUGGCACAGAAGGACCUAGAAAAGGUCACUGCCGAGGCCAAGGAUACUCGCUCUGCAAUGAGAGCUAUGAAGGAGGAGCUACGUCAGGCCGGAGAUAUCACAGCUGGAAAGCCCUAUAUGCUGCGGAUGAAGUUCGGGGAUCCUAAGUAUGCUCCAUUGGACCGGAAGUGGAGUGCGGUGAACACUUAUCUGGAUUUGGCGGCGAGUGCCGCGGACGCGACCGAACACUUCCGGGGUCUAAAUGACCACGAAUUGGAAGAACUUUUUUGGUCACAGUUCCACAAUCCAGAGCGCCCACUUUCAGUAUCCGAUCGUUUGGCCGCAUGGGCGGAGCUGAACAGGUUAUCCGGACUCGCCAUGAAGCAUGUCGUGAGUCAUCUGUGGCCGAAAGGGCCUGAGCCGAAGAGUUAUUUUAGCUUGGUGCAGCAGUUCCUUGGUGCGGUGCCGCAUAUUGAUGCAAUGAAGAGGUCAGUGUGCAUAGAGGGUGCACAGAUGGCUCUUGCCCAUGUCAAGACAUAUUGGGCGGAGAUGAAGGCCAGUGAUGUUGCAUCCCAAGAUUCAGACGAAAGCCGAGUGCCUGCCGAGCACUAUUUUGAGGAAGUUCUGUCGGGCGCUCGUUUAAUAGAGACGCAGUGCUCGAAGGAUGUUAUGUUUGAAUAAUGGGUAUUAUUGUAAAACAAUGUUUUGAUGGAAUAUAAAAGCUUUUUAUACUUGUGCUUUCAAGAAUUAGAAUACCUCAUGUGCGGCCGUUAAUGUAUAUGUGUAUAUAACCUGAAAGAUGGCAGUCUUUGGCUUCAGCCCCCACGCAUAUAAUGCGGGGGUGUUCACAGAAGGCGCAUUUUCAUACUUGAUCCAACGUCUUGGUCCUAUUAAGGAGGUGGUAGCGCAGCGAACGAGGCAACCGAACUAUAAUGCUUUAUCACUUUCACUUAGCAAUAGGAGUUUGACAGUGGGGCUACGAUAUAGCCCCUGGGGGCACCGCUCUCACCCGAAUUCGGGGCACGUGUGUGCCUGGCCGGGAAAUGGCCCUUCGUUAAUGCGGAGGAAUCCUAAAGAUUUCGGCGGGUCAUCGAGUGGUUGACCAGUCUCACGCUAUAUCAUGACAGUCAGUUUUUGGCUUUCUCUACUGAGGUGCUCACCUGGCCGAACCGGGGCACAAUCGCAGUAGUUCUCCUGGUGCCACCUUAGCUGAUAGAGCGGAACAUAAGGCAGCAAAACACAAGAGCCGGGCAAACCCAACAUUUGACCAAAGACAUGAUUCGGAGCUGAUGUAUAUAAGGCCUAACUCGCGACGCCGAACACUCCCUAAGGUAUUCGGUCUUUAUGAAAACGGGCGGAACAACGCCCUUGGUAAGAAGCCCCUGGUGUCCAGGUACGCGCAAAUUUCUGACGUGGCCACAUGCCAAGACGCCAGCCUCCUCCUCGGUUAUAACAAAAAACCGAGGGAUGUGUAUCAACAAGAGACAGUAAAAAAGGUUUACGCAGGGUCUUAAUCUGAAAAGAAUCCUUGGAACAGGUCCCUACUGCAUGUCUGCGCCUGUGUCUCCGUUGUGCCGUAUCCUGGACGGGUGUAGCAUGGUGCUCAUCUGUAAAAGAGAGGAACUUAGUUGAAAACAAUCGUGCGAAAGAUCUAUGUUAUAUUAAAUAAACAAAGUAUAAUUCAGAAAAUGGGUAGAAUUGAGCUUUAUUGUCUCUUGGUGUAAAUGCGCGGAGCCCCUUGUACAGGGGUAUGCAGCUAGUAAGCAUUUGUAUGUUUACACCAGACUCGUCUAGCCAUGUCCGGGGUCUUGAAUGACCUGUUUAGGUGCUUUAACUAGUAAAGCUGGUUUAGUGUGCGGCUGUCAAGGCGGCCGCACCAUCUUCCGCACUCGAGGAACACUCGAUAUUUCCCUUUAAUGAGAUUAUGCCUCGCGGACCGGGCAUUUUAAGUGUAAGGGAUGCAUAAUGCGGUAUUGCGUUAAAGCGGGCGAAAGCUUCGCGUCCUAGUAGUGCUUGAUAGCUACUUAUGAAUGGGGCGAUGUGGAAGGUUAGCUUUUCGCUUCGAAAGUUGUCGGGGGAGCCGAACAUAACUUCUAACAAGAGGGAACCCAUACAAUGGGUAUCUGGGCCUUGCGUUACCCCUUGAAAGGAAGUGUUGCCAUGACGAAUUAUUGUUGGGUUUAUCCCCAUUUUGCGGAUUGUGUCCUAGUAUAGCAGGUUUAGAUUGCUGUUGCCGUCCAUUAGGACUUGUGUAAAGUGGAGUCCGUCGAUUAUCGGAUCUAAUACCAGGGCAGUCCAGCCUGCGUUCCGGGUACCUCUAGAGUAAUCCUGAUGAUCGAAGGUGAUUGGUUGUAACAACCAGUGGCGGGACUCCUCUGGGACAGGCCGUAUGACGCGUAUCUCCAUAGGCGCCACUCUGUUUUUCCCUUUUGUCACGUGAAGUGAAUUUACUGUUUUGACUUCUUGUGGGAACUUCUUUUGUUCUCCAGUGCUCUGCUGUGGGGUUCGUCGUCGUUGUCGCUUGGUAUGUCGAGCCCCUUGUGUUCGGUGUUAAGUUUGCCGGAUUGCUUGAAGACCCAACAAUCUCUGUGGGUGUGGUUUGCAGGCCUCCCGGGAGUACUGUGGAUUUGGCAUAUUUUGUCCAAGAUUUUGUUGAGGUUGGAUAGCUCGUCCCUAUUAUCCUUGGGGGGGCUUUUUCUGAUUCUGCUGAGAGCUUUUGAAUUCGGCGUUGACUGUCGUGCUCUUUGGGCUGCUUCCCUUGGUCCGGCGAUGGUCCUUGCUACGUCGUGGUUUCCUGUUUCCAUCCCUAGAUUCGGAUGUACUUGGAUCGCUGGUGCUGCUCCUUGCCAACCAGCUAUCUUCUCCUGCGCAAAAGUAGGUCAUGAGGCUUGUUAAUGCGGACAUUGUUCUUGGCUUUUCUUGGCCGAGGUGUCUAGCGAGCCAUUCGUCCCGCACACUAUGCUUGAAAGCUGCUAAGGCUUCGGCGUCCGGACAGUCGACUAUCUGGUUCUUUUUAGUAAGAAAUCUGUUCCAGAGUUUCCGGGCUGACUCUCCGGUUUCUUGAGUUAUAUGACUUAGAUCGUCUGCAUCCGGAGGUCGGACGUAAGUCCCUUGAAAAUUUGCCCGAAAAGCGUCCUCGAGCUCUUCCCAACUUCCUAUGGUGUUUUCGGGAAGGCUUUUAAGCCAAUGUCGGGCUGGCCCUUUGAGCUUAAGGGGUAAAUAUUUUAUGGCGUGGAGGUCAUCUCAUCUAGCCAUGUGUAUGUGGAGGAUAUAGUCCUCAAUCCAAACUCCAGGGUCUGUUGUUCCGUCAUAUGCCUCUAUGUUUACGGGUUUGAAUCCCGCUAGAAAUUCAUGUUCCAGCACCUCAUCGGUGAAACAUAGGGGGUGUGCGGCACCCCUAUAUUUGGGUGUGCCGUGAUGUUCGGAUACUUGUUGCGUUGCAUUGCUUACUAGAGCUUGCUUUCUUGGCCCGUAGAUAGAUCUGGUUGGGCCAUCUUUUUGAUGUGAAUCCUUGUGCGGAUCGCGUGCCGGCUUGAGUGCGGCGCCCCUUGCCGCUCUAUGCUGGCCAUGGGGUUAUUUAUCCGACCGGGUAUCUUCUUUAUUUUUUGAAUGUGGGGGCUCUAAGGCCUCCUCAUCGAAUUCUGGUAGUAAUUUUUGCUUCGGGUAGCUCUUUGUGUGGCGACUGUCGCCAUAUUUGUCUGCGGUGUUGAGUACUUUGCCCCAUCUAAUUCUGAGUGCAUCUUCCGCUGUUUUGAGCUUCCGCUUCUGCUUUUUCAGGCUACGCGCAGUGGCGACGAGCCUUUUGUGGAGGUUCUUCUGCUCCAGCAACUUGUCCGGCGUGAGGUCGUCCGGACUAUCAUCUUCACCGGGGGCGGGUUGUUCGGUUUGUUUACCCAAGUUGCCCUGUUCGGACGGUUGCUCGAUGGCAUGUUCAUCAUCCACCGGUUCACCCUGCUCUAUGGCUGGCUCUUUGUCGAGGUGGGGUUUGGCGCGUCGCUUACGCCGCCGCUUCGAUUUCUUUUCGAGGGAACGAUCCCUCAUUGCAUCCCUUUGUUCCUCGUCGUCGUUUCUUUUAGGUGUGUCCACCAUGUAUACAUCGUGAGAUGAGGUGGUUGUCUAGUGCCCUGUAGGCGUUGGUUCUUGGUUGUCUCUUUCAUCGGCGUCCAUACUGUCGAUGUCUUCGGAGUCGAAGUCGAGCAUGUCGGUUAAAUCAUCGACAGUGGCUACGUAGUGGGUGGUGGGUGGGCUUCGAAUUUCUUCGUCGUCCGCAUCCCAACCUUGCUGACCAUAGUUCGGCCAGGGCUCUCCUGACAAAGAGAGAGACUGUAGUGAAUUCAGAAUGUCGCCAAAGGGCGAGUGCUGAAAGAUGUCCGCGGCAGCGAACUCCAUGAUCGGCGCCCAAUCGGGUUCGAUCGGUAGGGGUGCAGAAGGCUCGGAGUCCGGAAAGGAGUCCGGCACCUUGGAGUCGUGAGCUUUGCGAAGGACAAGACUGGUGUUCGGCUCAAUCGCCAUAGAGAUUGCAGCUCCUGAGGCGGUGUCCAGCCACCCGUCCUCGAUCAGCGCGGUCGGCUCCGAGCUAAGGGCCGGAGCGGACACCUGAGCGGCCUUCUGGGCACUGUCCGGCUGCAGAGCUAGAUCAUGCCCAUCGUGACAAUGCGGCGCGCUCGGCUGUGGCUCGAAUCCGUCGAAGAUCAAGUCUCCGCGGAUGUCAGCCGUGUAGUUCAAACUUCCAAAUCUGACCUGAUGGCCAGGGGCGUAGCUUUCGAUCUGCUCCAGAUGGCCAAGCGAAUUGGCCCGCAGUGCAAAGCCGCCGAAUACGAAGAUCUGUCCGGGGAGAAAAGUCUCACCCUGGACCGCAUCGUUGUUGAUGAUCGGAGGAGCCAUCAGGCCUAAAGGUGACAACACAGAGGGACUCUCAAUGAAAGCACCAAUGUCGGUAUCAAAACCGGCGGAUCUCGGGUAGGGGGUCCCGAACUGUGCGUCUAGGCGAAUGGUAACAGGAGACAAGGGACACGAUGUUUUUACCCAGGUUCGGGCCCUCUCGAUGGAGGUAAAACCCUACUCCUGCUUGAUUAAUAUUGAUGAUAUGGGUAGUACAAGAGUAGAUCUACCACGAGAUCAGAGAGGCUAAACCCUAGAAGCUAGCCUAUGGUAUGAUUGUUGUUCAUCCUACGGACUAAAACUCUCCGGUUUAUAUAGACAUCGGAGAGGGCUAGGGUUACACAGAGUCGAUUACAAUGGGAGGAGAUCUACAUAUCGUAUCGCCAAGCUUGCCUUCCACGCCAAGGAAAGUCCCAUCCGGACACGGGACGAAGUCUUCAAUCUUGUAUCUUCAUAGUCCGGGAGUCCGGCCAAAGGUCAUCGUCCGGCCAUCCGGACACCCCCUAAUCCGGGACUCCCUCAAUAACCCUCAGGCACAACAGGCAACUAGGGGGAGAAUCUUCAUCAUCACUUUCAUCAAUAUUAUCAGUUUCAAUAAUUUCAUUCUCUCUAGCCCUAGCAAGUUGUUCAUCAAGAAAUUCACCUCGUGGCACAGUAUUAUCAAGCAUAGAAGUAGUUUCAUCAUAAGUAUCAUGCAUAGCAGAAGUGGCAUCAUCAAUAACAUGUGACAUAUCAGAAUUAAUAGUAGAAGAAGGUUUAGGUGUCGCAAGCUUACUCAAAACAGAUGGUGAAUCAAGUGCAGAGCUAGAUGGCAGUUCCUUACCUCCCCUCGUAGUUGAGGGAUAAAUCUUGGUUUUCUCAUCUUUUAAGUUCCUCAUAGUGACCAGCAGAUAUAAAUCCCAAGUGACUCAAAGAAUAGAGCUAUGCUCCCUAGCAAUGGCGCCAGAAAAUAGUCUUGAUAACCCACAAGUAUAGGGGAUCGCAACAGUUUCCGAGGGUGGAGUACUCAACCCAAAUUUAUUGAUUCGACACAAGGGGAGCCAAAGAAUAUUCUCAAGUAUUAGCAAUUGAGUUGUCAAUUCAACCACACCUGGAAAACAUAAUAUAUGCAGCAAAGUAUAUAGUAGCAAAGUAAUAUGGAAGUAACGGUAACAAUGGCAAAAGUAACAGUAGCAGUUUUGUAGUAAUUGUAACAGUGGCAACGGUAAAGUAACUAAGCAAAGAUCAAUAUGUGAAAAGCUCAUAGGCAUUGGAUCAGUGAUGGAUAAUUAUGUCGGAUGCGAUUCCUCAUGCAAUAGUUAUAACAUAGGGUGACAUAGAACUAGCUCCAGUUCAUCAAUGUAAUGUAGGCAUGUAUUCUGAAUAUAGGCAUACAUGCUUAUGGAAAAGAACAUGCAUGACAUCUUUUGUCCUACCCUCCCAUGGCAGCGGGGUCCUAUUGGAAACUAAGGGAUAUUAAGGCCUCCUUAUAAUAGAGUACCGGACCAAAGCAUUAACACUUAGUGAGUACAUGAACUCCUCAAACUACGGUCAUCACGGGAGUGAUCCCAAUUAUUGUCACUUCGGGGUUGCUGGAUCAUAACACAUAGUAGGUGACUAUUGACUUGCAAGAUAGGAUCAAGAACUCACAUAUAUUCAGGAAAACAUAAUAGGUUCAGAUCUGAAAUCAUGGCAGUCGAGCCCUAGUGACAAGCAUUAAGCAUAGCAAAGUCAUAGCAACAUCAAUCUCAGAACAUAAUGGAUACUAGGGAUCAAACCCUAACAUAACUAACUCGAUUACAUAGUAAAUCUCAUCCAACCCAUCACCGUCCAGCAAACCUACGAUGGAAUUACUCACGCACGGCGGUGAGCAUCAUGAAAUUGGUGAUGGAGGAUGGUUGAUGAUGACGACGGCGACGGAUUCCCCUCUCCAGAGCCCCGAACGGACUCCAGAUCAGCCCUCCUGAGAGAGAUUAGGGCUUGGCGGCGGCUCCGUAUCAUAAAACGCGAUGAAUCCUUCUCUCUGAUUUUUUCUCCCCGAACAUGAAUAUAUGGAUUUGAAGUUGAGGUCGAUGGAGCCUCAGAGGGCCCAUGAGACAGGGGGGUGCGCCCAAGGGGGCAGGCGCGCCCCCCACCCUCGUGGACAGGGUGUGGACCCCCUGGUCUUGAUUCUUUUGCCAGUAUUUUUUAUUAGUUCCAAAGAUAUUCUCCGUGAAGUUUCAAGUCAUUCCGAGAACUUUUAUUUCUGCACAAAAAUAACACCAUGGCAAUUCUGCUGAAAACAGCGUCAAUCCGGGUUAGUUUCGUUCAAAUCAUGCAAGUUAGAGUCCAAAACAAGGGCAAAAGUGUUUGGAAAAGUAGAUAUGAUGGAGAUGUAUCAACACACCCUGGGCCCUUGUGAUCACCGUGUAAAGCGGUUGGUGCCCUUCUUCGGCUGCAAGAAAGGUAAUAUCCGGAUAAAAAUCGUGUUAAAAUUUCAGCCCAAUCGGAGUUACGGAUCUCCAGGAAUUUAAGAAACUGUGAAAGGCCAGAAUCUGGGAGCGCAAAAACAGAAGGAGAGAGAGAGAUCCAAUCUCGGAGGGGCUCCCGCCCCUACGCCACCAUGGAGGCCAUGGACCAGAGGGAAACCCUUCUCCCAUCUAGACGGAAGGUCAAGGAAGGAGAAGAAGGAGGGGGCCUCUCUCCCCCUCUCUCCCGGUGGCACUGGAACACCGCCGGGGCCAUCAUCGUGACGACGAUCUACACCAACAACUUCGCCAUGUCAUCACCAACUCUCUCCCCCUCUAUGUAGCGGUGUAACCUCUCUUUUACCAGUUGUAAUCUCUACUUGAACAUGGUGCUCAACGCUAUAUAUUAUUUCCCAAUGAUGUGUGGCUAUCCUAUGAUGUUUGAGUAGAUCCGUUUUGUCCUAUGGGUUGACUAAUGAUCAUGAUUGGUUUGAGUUGCAUGUUUUAUUAUUAGUGUUGUCAUAUGGUGCUCUCCAUGUCGCGCAAGCGUGAGGGAUCCCCGCUGUAGGGUUUGCAAUAUGUUCAUGAUUUGCUUAUGGCGGGUGGCGUGAGUGACAGAAGCACAGACCCAAGUAAGUAGGUUGUUUGCGUGUGGAAAUAAAGAGGACUUGAUACUUUAAUGCUAUGGUUGGGAUUUACCUUAAUGAUCUUUAGUAGUUACGGAUGUUUGUUAGAGUUCCAAUCAUAAGUGCAUAUGAUCCAAGAAUAGGAAGUAUGUUAGCUUAUGCCUCUCCCUCAUAUAAAAUUGCAAUAAUGAUUACCCGUCUAGCUAUCGAUUGCCUAGGGACAAAUAACUUUCUUGUGACAAAAAGCUCUCUACUAAAACUAGCUUAGUUGUUUCUUUAUCUAAACAACCCCUAGCUUUUAUUUAUGUGAUCUUAAUUAUCUUGCAAAUCUAUUCUAUCACACCAACAAAGUACUUCUAGUUUCAUACUUAUUUUAGGUAAAGAGAACGUUAAGCGUGCGUAGAGUUGUAUCGAUGGUUGAUAGAACUUGAGGGGAUAUUUGUUCUACCUUUAGCUCCUCGUUGGGUUCGACACUCUUAUUUAUCGAGAAAGGCUACAACUGAUCCCCUAUACUUGUGGGUUAUCAGAUAUCAUCAAGCUUGCCCACUGACAACAAAUUCAGCCUUACGUCGGGAACAUGCCUCACUCAUCGAGCACCAAUCUGCAGCCUGCAUUUGUUUCAAUGCAUAUAGAUCCCCUGCCAACAAUUGCUGACGAACCACUAAAUCCGAUUCUAACUUGUCCAGUAACACCACUAGUGUAAGAUGUGAAAUACUCCUUGUGUGAUGUGAUGUGGAAGGAUGCACCUGAAUCCACAACCCAACUCAUGGCAUCAUCACGAACAACGCUAUAGCAUUCUUCAUCUUGAAUGACUAGAUAGUCCUCAUCUAUUGUAGUCAUGGUUGAGCUGCUCUCAGCCUUUUGCUCGGUUUUCUUUGCAAGUUUCCCCUCUGCAAGCUCUAUUUUGUACUUCCUGCGCUCGCUCUUUAUGUGUCCUGGAUUGCCACAAUGAAAGCAAGUAAUAUAUUUUCUCUGUUUUGACUUUGAUCUCCCCCUGGAUUUGCUUCUGGCUUGCUGAAGUCUUGUAUUGUUGCGUCCAUGGUUCUCAUUAUUCCCAUGGGUUUCAGCCACAUACGCAUCAGAAGAAGAGCAUCACCCUUUUCCUUCUUUUUGGCUUCUUCAUUCAACAUGCUAUUCUUCACCAUCUCCAAAGUAAGCUUCCCAUCUGAAGCCGAAUUGCUAAGUGACACAACAAGCAUGUUCCAGCUAUCAGGCAUGGAACUCAGCAGCAACACUUGCACUUCAUCCUCAAAGUUGAUCUUCAUGGCUGAAAGUUGAUUUAUAUGGCAUUGUAAGACAUUCAAGUGCUCAAUCACACUUGUGCCAUCUCGGUACUCAAGCUUUGCAAGUCUUUUGAUCAUUGAGGCCUUGUUCAUUGAUGUCUUCCUCCCAUACAUAGACUCCAACUUCUGCCACAUCUCGUACGCAUUUGUGCCAUUUGCAACACGGUGGAAUAUAUUAUGGUUGAUGUACAACCGAAUCAUACCUACUGCUUUUCUGUGCAACACUCUCCAUUCUUCCUCUAUGACACCAGUGGGUAUCUUGUCUUUCACAAUUGGCUUAUACAAAUCCUUGCAAUAAAGGAUGUCUUCCAUCAUGGGUUUCCAUAAUGGGUAAUUGGAAGAAUCAAGUUUUAUCAUGCCACUUGUAGUAGCGCUUUCUUCCAAAGCCAUUGUGAGCAGCACUUCCAGUAACAACCAGGCAAAUGAGAUUUGCAACCUCCUAAGCAACCAAGGCUCUGAUAUCACUCUGUUGGGAAUUAGUACACAAAUGUACUUGUGGUUAACUAACAACUGCAGCGGAAACUAAGUAAUCUCAGCACCACAUCAUGUACUAACUCAAGGAUUGUUGCUUAGCACGGAAGGAAACAUAUGCAACAGCAUAUUUGGAGGCAAAAUAUGUUACUUAGCAGGCAAGGCACUCCUCAGCCGAGUGUCUUGUGGUAGGAGUGACUUUUCUGGGCAACAGCAAGCAUCAACAAAGAGACACCAGAUUUUUACGUGGAAAACCCCCCAACUUGAGGGGGAAAAUGUGGGAUACAACAAGUUCUUCUCUAGACAACACUAGAGGAUCUCAUACAUCAAGAUUUCUGAAUCUUGGAUGAACACAAUAAGAUUUGGGGCUCAAGAACUAGGGAUUGGAAUAAUCUCACCAAAGAUGGUGGAACCGCAGUUUGAAGCAGACAAGGUAGUAGAUCUGGACCAUCACAACCUUGGGAAGGAGCUCCCUUUGCUUCUUCCUUCAGUCUUCCUCUUCUUCCUUUGCUCUCUUGGUUUUCUCUCUUCUUCUCCCUUGGAGGAUGAACUGAUUUUUGUCACUCUUGAUGGUGGUUGUUGGAUGGAGGGUAAAGCAUCCCCAUCUUCUCAUGUGCAAAGUCCAAAAUGACCCUAGGUCAUAACUCUAAUGUGUAGUGGGCUUCUGCGCCUCUUUGGGCUAUCUGAAAGGCCUCAAAUGGUCAUCUCCUUACAGCCCACCUGAGGAGGAUAUCCCAACAAUUUUUUCCUCACGGUAGGUUCGACCCAUUUUCUUUCAGUAAGAAAAUCAUCGAUGUCCUUAAUUAUCUACUCAAAUGGCCAAAUAUGCAGAGCUGCAACUCAUAGAGCACUUAUAGACGGACUUUGGCAAACUGACGGUCACAUCUCAAAUUUCCUUUUCACAAUUAGACAUCUCAAUUGUCAUACCUCAAAUCCAUACAGAGUCAUAAAACGUAAACAUAAACGAUGCAACAAACAUCGUUCGGCUACUACAUCAGAACAUGCGAUCACACUACCAAAUUUGGCAUGUUUUACCUACAUACUAACUAGGGAGAAGAUCGUCCAUGCCUACCCUUGCCCUUCCCGGUGUCCUUGACUUCCUUCUCGCGGAAGUAGCGGUCAAAAAUGUAGUAUGGAUCAAGCCAGAUCUGCUCUUCGCCGGAGUUGUCCAGCCCGUCGCUCCCCUCCUUCUCCUCCUGGGGGGGAGGGGGGUCUGGCCAUGGCACGAAUAGCCUGAUUCUCCUCUAGGGCGAGGGCAUGCGUGUUCCUCUGCUGCCGCAUCCUUAAGAUGCGGGCGCAGAUGGCUUCCUCCUCUCAAGCAGUGUGCGCCACCACAUCCGCCGCCUUUGUCACCGGCAUGUCGGCAGCAAAGCGGGCCUCGUCCGCCCUCAUCCUUUCCUUCCCACGGCAUACACACCAGCCCCGCUAGCACUCAUACUCCGGCCGACCAGUGACGGGGAAAGGGAGAUUGGAAGGCUCCCGGGAGGACCACGACUUUAACGAGCUAAGUGGUGCUUAGUGGGGGUGAAUUUUGCAUUGUCCAGCCUAAAAUGACAUAAAUUGCAACUUUUUUUCAUGUGGCUCUUUCAACCAGGUGCAACCGUGGAAACGCAGGCAGGCAGCAUGUCCGCAGCCACGUCUUCGACCUGAUGCGAGUGUUGAAAGGUACAGCGUUUCCUAUUUCCAGUAGCGUGUUGGUAAUUUGGGUAACGGGAAUAUUACUGUCUAAACCAUUUUUUGCCUUCACUAACAUACAAGAAAAUUUGGUCAUCAAGAGACCAUGCAAUGCCCCUUCCACAGCAUUUCCAGUUGAUCACGUUGUUUCGGGAUGGAAAAUGAACUUUGCACAUGAAAUCAACACAAGAGAUAGCAAUUCAGAAGACACGCUGACAAACUAUGCCAAGACAAGUCAAUACUACAAUGUAUCAAGUCUGUCGGAGUGGCGAGUACAGAGUACAAAGCGGACAUAGUAAAACCAUGAUGGGCAAACAAACAGCGCCACGGACAAUUUAACACCCACGAAAACAAUCUGAUAGCUAGCUCUUUGACAGAGAGCUUUAUCUUUCCAAAACACCCACAUUAUCUGUCAAGACUAUAUAGUUUAUAAUACGUAAAGGCAGUAUUAGUCCGAAUAUCCAGCUUAUCCAGAUCCAUAGAAGCCCCUGCCGAGAUGCUUCAAGCCUAUAUAUCACGAAAU
rnacentral:lncRNA from 1 species